GCCGCCCCUAGAUUUGUCUAAUAUUACAAAAUUGCUAUUCAACUCUAUUCUCUGUUUGUGCGAGAGAUCUAACUCGGCCAACCCAAAUCUCUGAUCUCGACCUUCACAGAGCUCAAUCCGAUAUCGGCCAUCACCGUUCCGAUCAUCGUCGCAGCUUUCCGGCCAGCCAGGUGCAUUUUGUCGUGUCUCUCGUUCUCUUCACUGGUCUUUAUCUCUGUCUUUCCAUCUUAAACUUAUCUUCUCAUCGUUUCACAGGAGAUAGCCAUCACUCUGACCAUCUCUUCCGCCAUCUCUCCGAUAAUCUCUUCCGCAAUCUCUCUACCCUACUGCCACUCCGAGUCGUCUCGGUUCAGAUAUUACUCAUCUCUUACUGAAUUCAUGGCCUUCAUUAUGUUCGAUUGAUUACUUGUAAUCUUAUAUGUUAGUUUCUACGUUAGGGUUUCCGGAGGUGAUGCUAAUGUUUGUUUGUCAAUGAUUUGUUAAAGUCAUACUGGAUGAAUUGUUAAUUAUUCUCUAUCUUGCUAGGAAGCAACUACUGGGUAUUGACUUUUAAUUUGGCUUUUUAGACCCUAUCAAGGUUUUAUAUGUCCCAGAAAUGGGUGGUCAAUUGAUCACCAUUAUAGGGCUUAGAAGGAGAAUUAGCUCCUGCUGCUCACAAACGUCCUUAAAUGACCAAUGUUAUUGUCUCUGGAAAUGGCUUGUAGAUUCCAAAAAUCUGCAUAUUCCUGAACCAACAGAGACAGUUAUAUAUGGUGGUAGAAAUGUUGAUAAAAUUGUGGUUAAAUAAGAUGGCUUUAAAUCACUGAGAAGAAUAUAGCUUUGAGAAUUGAUCUGGAUCAUUUCUGGAAAUAGGAUGUGAAUUAUGUUUGAUGAAUUCCCUGUCUUACAUUUAACAUGGCUUUUUUUGUAAACUUCUAGAAAUGUGGCAAAACAGGAUACAACAAUGAGUUAUUACAGUUGAGUUUCUUAUCAUUUUAAUUCUACUUUUAAUUCUGAUAUUGCUUCUGAUUCAUGCAUGUUCUAAUUAUUUUUCAAAGUGUUCUUGUUGAAGAGUUUAGUUGCAGUUCUAGACUUUUUUAUUUGGAUAUUUCAGAUGGUGAAACCAUAAAUGAAAAGUUAUAAACCUUUUAGGGAUAGGAGAUGAUCUUAUAUGAAUGACAUAAUCCUUAAAAACGCUGCUGUCACUUGAGAGAUUGUUACUCUGGUUUCAUCUUACUCAGCAUCAGUAAGCUGCAGUACUUCGAUCUUCCCACUUGAAUUGAUUAGCAAAUAAAGAGUUACUUACCCUUAUCCAUUAUUGGUCCCUCUUUUUUCCUUUCUGGACGACAAUGGUCAUUUGUCAUGGCUGGUCUGGUUUGGCUGGCUUGAUAAAGAUCAGUUGCAGAUUCAGAUGAAUUAUUAUAAUAGUCAAAUUUCAUAGUUUGCUAUUUUGUAUUAUUAUUAUUAUCUCACAUUCAAUUCAAUAAUACUUUCUUGUUUUCUGAUGCAAGCAGCCUUGAUUCUCGUCGAAAACAUAUCGAAGUUGGAGUUGUUUUAUCGCCAGAAAGAUGAUAUGAGAGAGCUUUUCGUUAAAUGCCUUAUUCGUCAAUUGUAAGGUGUUUGAAAAAGAGGAUUGAAGUUAACCACGAAGGUUUGAAGAAUUUUUGAAAAAUUACUCUGAAAUAGUAGUUGAUUUUGGAAUUUUAUCUCAUGCUUAGUUCAAAUUGAUUCUGGGUAAUGAUGACAAUGAGUAAUGAACUGAUUCUGGAAUUUUUAUCAAACAGUUGCAGUAUUUGAAUGAAAUAGUAAUAUAAUUUUGGUGAAGUAUGUAGGCGUAUUUCUAUCAUUGUUAUUAAUAUUUAAUAAAUAGUUUCCUAUCAGCUUUUCCAUUCAAUUUUGUAGCCAAAUAAGGGAUUCCUACUAAUCCUAAGAAUCAAUCUUGAAAUCUAAAUUCCUAGGAAUUAAACAAUUUCCAUUUUUCAUCCAAAUUUCGGUUGCCAGACUCAACAUAAACCAAACUCAUGGAUAUCACAACUAGAGCUACAAAGCUUGACUGAAAGUAAGCCAUUAAUCCAAUAAGGCAUUCCAAUUCCAAAGCUCAGCUUAGCAUCAUUAUGAUUCCUGGAAGCUCUAAUAUUUUGAGCUUUCUCUUAACCUGACUAGAUUUCAUCAGGUACCAAUGGGAAUCUAGGGAAGGUGUUGCAAUUUUUACGAUUUUGUAUUAUAAUACCACUACUUCUAAGUCAUUAAAACAUGCAUAGACUUAGUCGGUGGAACUGCCAUUUUGAUUCAUGUCUCAUACGUGAAGUUCGACAACCUCGUAAAUUCGAGUGAAUGUGUUAUUCAUAACUUCAGAAUAGUACAGUCCAGCCACUACAAACAUAGUUGGAAUCUUAGCCAGAAUGAACUAUUAUAAGCUCUGACAUAUUUAAUUGAGUGAGGGAUAUACAAAGUACGACAUGGGGAAAUGAGAAGGGAGAAGGGGAAUUGUAUAUCUAGUUUAGUUAUUCAAGAUUUAAGCUACUAAUUGAAAAAGAGUGGAGAUUGGGGAUCAUAGAAGGAAGAAUGGUGGUGUGGACCGUUGAAUAUGUAGUAGGAAUUGAAUAAGAAGAAUGGUGGAUGGAGUUAGCUUGGGAAGAAUGAGGAUGAAAUUAUGGUAUGGACUUACUAAAUAACUUGAUCUAAUGGUAGUGAUUCAUUAGUGUAUCAUUAGUAUUAGGAUGAUUAUAACUUUAUUUACCAAAGACAAAUCUCAAUAUCGUAAGAUAAAAAUAAAUCAAAACCCGAUAUUGUUUGAAAUUAAGUAGAAUAAUCAUUUUUAAAAAAAAUUGAUAUUUUUUUCUCCUGCAACUAGGGUUUUCCUCUCCCAUUUUUAGGGCUUUCAAGUCUUCUCCCAUGAGAAUCAACCAGCUUCUGCCACCGUAAGCCAACUUGGGGCCGUCAGAGGGGCACGCUCUACAUACUUCAAUCACCACCAAAGGAAACGAUCGGCGACAGUAAUCAGGCGAUGGAGCAAUCAGGAUGAAUCCCUCCCGCAUUUGAGCCACAGAAGGGUCUGCUAGCGGCGACCCGCUCAUCCGCAUGAGAACUUAAAGCACAGGGAAUCUGUUCGCUCCCGGGAUUUUACUGAAAAGACUAGCUACCCCCAUUGUUUAAUGUUUUCUUUUAUUUUUUCUCGGUUAGUCGUGAACUCCUAGUUCGGUUUGUUUUUUUAUUCUUUUUUUUUACGGUUUUGUUAGUUGUUGGUCUUUUGUCGGGUAGGUACUGUAGGUGAGGUUGGAUUCUCGUAGUGUGUUAAAAAUGAUCGAGGAAAUUAAGGAGGCAAAAUAUAGUAACCGAUUAAGUUAAUUGAUUCUUCCUCGUUACCCGUUAGUAAAACAACUCCCAAGUAGCCAUUAUGUGCUUUGUCCAAACUAUGUCUAUCAAAAAUAGAGUAAUUAUUUUGUUAUUUAAAUUUUAAAUUAUUUUAAAUUUAAAAAUAAAUUAAUUAUGAAUCAUUACAAUUGCUUCUUAAAAAUGAAAGGCCGGGUGAAUUAAAAUUUAUGGGAGUACACCAAAGUCCUCACCAAAUAUAUAUUAUAUUUGGUUACAAUAUCUAAUUUUCUAUUUAAAUGUGCCCUACUUCUCUACCAUGUUCUGGAUUUGGUGAAAUGUAAUUUUGAAACUAAUGCAUAAUAUAUAUAACACUUAAAAAUACAACUUAAAUCGACAAUCCAUUGUUUGCAAAUAUGAUUAUAUCGGUAAUUUAUAUUACUCGCGAAACGGACCCGAUGGUUAGAGCAAGAUAUAUCCGUGAUUUUGCAUGUGAAUGGCAUAUUGGUGGCAGGGAGGUAUCUCGGCCUCCCUUCGAUGAUAAGACGGAACAAGAAGGAUACAAUGUGAUUCAUAAAGGAGAUAAUUUGGACGAAGAUGCAUAAUUGGAAGCAUGUGUGACACCUCGAAAUCCGAUUCGAUUGAAAUUUCUGUUUGAUUAAAAUCUUACUCGAUAAGUAAAAGUUAGGAGUUAGAAACCAAAUUAAUUAAGAGUUGAAUCGGUAAUUGACUAAGUGUUGCAGACACAUAAGGCUCGGGAUAGUUAUCGGUCCAACCGGUUGAACCGUUGUGGAGUUGAGUUUAUGCAAGUUAAUGCAUGCAUUACGUCAAUUUCAUGCAAUGUAAGAUUGGGUGUGGAUUAUGGAAUUUAAGUGGACAAAUAAUGGAAUUGGAGUUUGUCCUGGACGUUGGCUGUGGAAAAGGAUAAGAUGAUGACAAUGGGCGUGGUGAGCAUUAGUUCACGGGCGUAGCAAUUGUUAGGCAACGGGCGUGGUUAUUUAGAGGUCACAGGCGUGGUCGAUUUUUCUUCACAGGCAUGGUGUAAUCGAUAUAUAAGAUUCUAGGGUUAAUAGUCGUCAGAGGGUCGACAAAGAGGAUGUUAGAAUCGUUUCCCCUAGAUCGGUCAUAGGUAAGUAUGGAUUUUCCGAUAAAUUUUAGAGAGUUUCGGUCAUGAUUUUGGUUUUGGGGGUUUCUCCCUUGAUGAUGAUUUUUGUGAUCAUUCUUAGCAUCGAGAAUCAAUGGAGCCUCCGAGAAUCAGAGAUUAGGGCGGUGUUGAGAUUAAUGGUUUCAGAUUCCAAGAUACUUAGAGGAUCAUCGGAGAAGAUAGCCUUUUCGCAAGGUCAAGAAAGUUAGAUGACUGAUCUAACAUCAGUAUAAUAUUCAGGGACUGAAUCUGUAUUUUGCCAAGCUGGGGAAGGAAAGGACUAUUCUACCCCUACAAGUUUCAAAGUGUUGCAAAGGAGUAAUUAGAGCAUAACUUGAUCGUUUGAGCUCCAAACGACGCACGAUCAUAAGCUAUAGACUCGUGGCAGUGAGAGGAAUCAUGUCAAGUUAGAAUCAGAGGUGUCAGCUCUUCAUGCCAGGUAGGGAUUAGGAUUACUUUUCUUCUUUAUGGGAAAUAUUGUAAUUGAUUGUGAAGAAUCCUUGAAUGGAAUUUCAGGACUGCGUAGUAGCGUGCGAUCUACUGUACAGAUGUUGUAUUUUAGAUUCAGGCUCUAAGUAGUUAAUUCGAGCAUAAGCUCACAGCGAUGAACUGUGCCUGUGAUUCACAGUUCGUGUUUCAGAUAGUAUUCAUGACUAUAUAGAUUAGCUCCCGUUAUACGUUGGUCUCCCACCCUUUGGAUUACGCAAUCCCCCAGGUUUCUUUUAGUUUUAGACAGGACGUGAUGAGUUAACCUUAAGAGUUGCUCUCAUGGCUUUUGAGUGUAGGUUUAUGGUCUGAUCCACCACGAGACUGUCCGCUCAUUGCUAGGGGUGGCUGACGUUAGGAUGAUACCUGCAGGACCACAGGGUCACAUUACUAGAUGCAGUGUUUAUAUAGACUUCUAAGUACAGGCUCAGUAAAAUCUUAGUUUAGUUUCAGUUCUACGCAAGACUAGUUUAACCACUCAGUUCUUAUCACUAACCCAAAUAGUUGUUGUUUUCCUUGGUGUAUCUUUGUGUUCAAUCACAGGUAUUGGAGCUGAUGUUGGAGAUAGAGCUGGUAGAGGUUUUUAUGUUAGAUGAUAUCAUUUGUUUUGUAUCUCCUUUUGACUUGUUAUAUUUUUUUAUCCAGGAUCCUAGUUGGUCAAUUUAUUUAAGAAUUUCCGUUGGAUUUUAACGCUUGUUAUUCCACAUUUAUUAGUAGUUAAAUAUUGAGUAUGUCUUAGGUUGAAAUCCAAGUAGGACUCCUUGUGUUGAACCAGUGGUUCGACCAGGACUCCUAGCGUGGGGUUUCUCACAACACUUCUCUACGACAAGCGGGCAUGAAAGUCUUAUAAAGAUAGUGGCGCAAGCGAUUCCAGUUUAUUUUAUGGGCGCACUACAAAUCCCAGCUGGCGUUGGCAGAGGAGCUAGAACACAUGUUGAAUAGCUUUUGGUGGGGAACGAGUAGGGAUGGUGGUAAAGGGAUUUCCUGGAUGCGAAGGGGACGUCUGUGUGUGCGCAAGGAGUAUGGUCGGAUGGGUUUUUGUAAGCUACAAGUUUAAUCUGGCUAUGUUGGAUAAGCAGGGGUGGAAGUUCCUUUCAUAUCCUGGUGCUUUGAUUUCUCGAGUGUUCAAACCUAAAUACUACCCGAAAAGGGAUUUUUUUAUCAAUAAUGUUGGGUUGCCGACCAAGCUAUGUUUGGAGAAGCAUUUUUGCAGCCUGAUAUGUAGUAACAAGUGGUUGUCCUUGCAUGUUGGGUGAUGGUCGAUCCACCAAGGUCAUUCAGGGUUGCUGGAUAACUAUAACGAUUUUGUGGCCCCGGUUCCUAGACUGUAAUUUAAUGAUUUGAUGGUUAAUGACUUGGUUGUCUUAGAUCUCCGUAUCUUGGAUGAGCACUUUCUUACAUUGUUGGUUUGUGAUGUUGAUGCUUAGCUUAUCAGAAGCAUGUUGCCUGAUGACGCUAGAUUUUUCACAUUUAUCACCCUCAUUUAAGAGAUAUUUCAGACAUCAUUGUAUUGGUUUAGGUAGAAGUUUAGGAUGUUUAUGCAUUUUAAGCUUUUAUCUCGUUUUAGUGUCAUUGACCAGGUCGGGAUCCAUUUGAUGUCGUUUUGGAGUGUAUUCGAUAGAUUUCAGGUACUUGGCGAUAUUGAGACAUUAAUCGGAGUAAUACGGUAUGCAUGGAUGAUCAAAGAUAAGCAAUGAGAAGCAUUUUGAGAUCUCGAAAAACCAUGGAUCUCGGCUUGGUUGAAAAAUGUUGAUGUUUCAUAUUUUGGACAUAUCUCCUAGUUUAGAAGUCCAAUUGAUGCAAGGCUGGCGGCGUUGGAAAGCUUGUUUAAUUUCCUACAACUUUAGUCUAGAAGCUGCGUUAAAUUUUGCGCGUAAACAGGUAAAGAGUUACGCCUAAGUUAAGGCACAAUCUUUGACAAGGUUUAGGCAUAUUCUUUAACCAAUCCGACAGAAUUUACGAUCUGAAUAUCCUUUUUAAAGGCGGUCUCUCCCUCAUUCGAAGACAGACUUUUCUGGAAAAAUUUGAGAGCAAAUUUUUUUUAUAGAAUUUAGGGCAUCUUUAAGGAAACUUCAAGGAACUCAGAUCAGACAAGUAAUGAAGACAGCAAAUCAAGUUCUUCGUAAAGAUUGAUGAAAUUAGUUUAUUUUAGAUUCUUCUUGAAUCUGAUUUUUUUUUCUUCGAUUAUGAGUAGCUAAAUUUCUCGUGCGUAUAUAACAUGAACCAUAGGUAUUUCGUUAUGAAUAAAUGAUUUGAUUACAUUUGACGAUUUAUGCGAGUUGGAUGAAUUUCAGUUUAUGUUUGAUUUCGAUUUCGUUUCUGUUCUUGGCUGAUCAUCAUAAAUGGACCUUGGUUAGAUUGGUCUUAGACUCAAGAGAGUUUAAAUAUCUAGAACAUUGAAAUCAAACAACUAGGUUAGACGUUCACACUCAUCUAGGAGCAAAUGAACUAGUAUUUCGUGUGAGCAAUUCUUGUUUGUUUAAUCGUCAAGCAGGUUUCAGCUCUUCGUCUCGAAAAGUAAACUAAGAUUCUAGAUAGGUAGAAAAUUAGCAGACCCGUAAGGGCGUGGUUUGAUUAAAGAAAAAUUGUGGCAUUUAAUUGAAUUUAUCUUGUGUUGUUAAAAUUUUGGAAUUUUCUGUCAUUUGUCAAUUUGAAUUCCCUAGGGGGGAUUUGAAGUCUAAGCAGUUUUGUCAUUGAUUGUCAAAACCAUAUUCGUAUAGUCUUCCAAAAAUGGACUUUAAAUAAAUUUUUAUUUUCAUUUGAUUGAUCGAUUGGUUCUCGUGGCACCUAAACCACACUUCUUGCUGGACCAAUUAAUACUUAUUGCAACUUUGAGUUGAAUAAAAUAAGAGACACUAAGAAGAUUCAACCUUGAUUACUUAAGUAAUUAGGUUUAUUUUGAGACGAGUAAAUUCGUAUGUAAAAUUGGUGUCGUUGCCAGGGACUUAUUUAUUGUAUUUGAAAGUACUUCGAUUAGUGUUAGUCAUUCACUUCCACUUUAAAUUUUUGCUUUCGCUGUUAAUUUUCACCCUUUUUAUUAUUUUCCUUGCACAGGUGUGCUUACAUUAUAUGUCACUAGUGGUGACACGAUCUAAGUCCCUCUUGGAAUCUCAUCAAGACAUUCGCCUGGAAGAAGAAGGAGAUUUUGCAGAAUCUUUUCUCCAACUUUGGCAAGCGAAGCAAGCUCUUCUCAUGAGGAGUAUUCAGAUUCAGAAUCCGAGCACAGUUACACAUCAACGCUUUCUGAAUCACGACCAAUAAUGGCGACACGAACUCUUGCCGACUUCACCAAGUCUAGUGCUGUGAAUUCCACAUCAAGUGUGUCUCCACCUGAACAAGAUGAUGCUAACUACGAGAUUAAAGGGAAUCUCAUCAGUUUAAUACAACAGAACCUGAAGUUUGAGGGGAGGAAAGACGAGAACCCAUGUGCUCAUCUCAUAGAUUUCUAUGCCUACGGCAAAACUGUCAAACUGCGAGGUUUGUCUAACGAAGAAGUGAAACUCAAGCUGUUCAAGUGGUCUCUCCGAGAGGCAGCAAGAAGGUGGUUGACUAGCCAACCUGGUGGUACAUUUACAAAUUCGGAUGAUCUAGCCCAAGCAUUUGUGGAAGAAUACUACCCACCAACAAAGACUACAUCUAUUAGAGAAUCAAUCUCUCGGGUAUCUCAGAGAGAUGGAGAGAGCUUAUAUUACUUGUGGAAUCAAUUUCAGGAACUAUUAAUUGGCUGUCCUCAUCAUGGAUACACCGAUAGUGAGCUGACAGACAUGUUCAACAGGUUUAUGGAUCGAGCAACAGCAAUGCUAGUAUAUCAACUAGCAAAUGGAGAUGUCACUGCCCUUACACGUACAGUUUCUCUACUACACUUUGCUUCAUGUGCAAUAAAAUCCUGGAACUAGGUAAGGAAUACAAUUCAGCAAGAAAAUUCAGUAUCUUCAGAUAAUUCAGACAACAUUGCCUUAAGAGCCCAAGUCAAGGCAUUAGAAACAGAUUAAAUGAUUUCACUUUACAAGUUUCUAUCCCAUGUUGCUUUUGUUUAUACUUGUAUUUGGUAUGGUGUUUGUGCUAGCCAGGGAGAAUGUGAUAACUCUCUCACCAACAAAUCCAUGAUGGUAAAAGAAGUGGAUUUUGUAUGACAAGGCUACCCCUUCAGUUAGCAGGGAUACCAAGAAUAUAGACGAAGAAUGCUGCAGGCCGAUAGUACAACUUCACAUACCCGGGAGGACACUCGGAAUUCUACAAGCCUAGAGUGAAGGAUUACAAUAUCAAUAACAACACCGCUUUAUGAACGGAUUUUACUUUUCUCAAAAUAAACCUAGUUACUUAUCUCAAAAGUAAUCAGGGUCAACUCUCCCUAGGGUCUCUUUAUGUAUCUUACUAAAAUUUGCAAUAACUACUAAUCGAUGUAAUAAGAAGUAUAGUGUAGGUGUCACGAGAAUGGUGAUAAGUACCUAUCUAGCAUCAUAGUCCGCUCUUCUGAGAUAGAGAGCUCAAAAUAUGCUAGGCGAUUAAACAAACAAGAAUAGCUCACGCGACAGAUUAAGUAAUUCGCUCCCAAAUGACGGUUAACGUCUAAACUAUUUGUUUGAUUUUGACAUUUUAGAUAUACUAAGACAAAUCUAACAGAUAUCCAUUCAAGCUGAUCAGGCAAUAAUAAAAACAAAAUCAAAAUCAAAAUCAAAAUCAAAAUCAAAAUCAAACAUAAAUUGAAGUUCAUCCAACUCGCAUAAAUAGUCAAAAGCAGUCAAAUCAUCUAUUCAUAAGAAUUAAACUAGGGCACAUCUAAUCUAAGAAAGAGAACUUUAGCUGCUCAUCAUAUCGAAGGAAAAAUCAGAUUCAGAGAAGGAAGACAUUGAUUCUAGGUUUACAUAAAUAAUUAUGAAAAACCUCAUUUUGCCAAUCGUCCCAAGAACUUGGUUUGCCGUCAUGAUUACUUGAUCGAUUACGAGGUCCUUGAAGUUGCUUUAAAGUUGCUCAAAAAAAUCAAAAUAUUGCUCUAAAUUUUUUCGCGAAAAGUCUGUCUAUCAAUGGAGGAGAACUGAGCUUUACAUAGAAAUUACAAAAAUCCUUCAAACUGCCGGAUUUUUCAGUUUUUGCGCUAUGGACCUGUCAAAGAUUGCGCAAUGGCCUAAAGACAUAGUGCAAUGUUUAAGAAAUCAUAGCUCAAAGAAUGUCAGAAUUUCCAGAAUGAACUAUCAACUCUUGCACUGUAAUAUGUUAAAGAUUAUGUUAUGGUCAUAGGGCAAUGUUUCACCAUCUGUAGCGCAAAGAAUGACAUCAUUCAGUAGUUGAGUUUUCUUCACUCAUCGAACUGUCCUAGCUUGUCCAGGUACAUCUGUAUUACUCCGAAUAAUGCCUCGACAUUGUCAUGUACUUAAAAUCUUACAAAAACACACCAAAACGACAUCAGAAGGACCCCAAAACGGGUCUGUGACUAGAAAUGUGCAACACAUUCUAAACUUCUACCCAAAACUACACAAAUAUUCAUGGAAUGUCGCUUAAAUAAUGGCGAUGAACAUGAUAAAUCAAGUGUCAUCAGAUGACCCCACAUUUAAGCUUUGCUUGUCCUCAAGAAAACAACUGAUAAUAGCCAUGAAACACGUCUAUCAAAUCAAACUACUAACAUAGCAAAGAUAACCCAUACCCCUCAAAACACCCGUGAAUUGCUUAACAUACAAGUGAACAUUUGAACAAAAACAAAUAUAGGAAGUAAAGGCCUCACAAGUAGUUCUCCAACUUGCCACACAUCAUCAUAUAUGUUAUACUACCCAUCUAGAUUUACUCUCAUAGAAAUUUGAGUUAAAGUUGAAGCCGGAAGCACUCACUCAAGUGUUUAAGGAUAGUGUUUAUGCGCUCAUCAUGAACCCUGAGGUGUGCUUCCAACAUUUACAUAUCAUCCUACUUUUACUCAUCACAUCAGGAUACAUCAAGCACUAGUCAAGAGGACUUUUAUUCAGGUUGUAAUGUGAACAAAAAAGAGAAGAGAAUGUGAAAUGAAUUUGGUGGUGGUGUACACAGUGGCGGACGACCCGGUCUACUCUAACAUAGAUCUAAACUACUAACAAAACCUAAACCAAAACUAUGCUCAUCUAUCCGACCUUGUUUGUUAGUUUAUUUAACUACUUUACUACAAAGAAAAUUAAUUUUUUUUUUUUUUCUUGUAUCUCCGAGACUGGUUUUAUUUCGCUUAUCUUCUCCCUUUUUGAGAUUUUUUUAAUUUUUUUUUCUUUUUUUAAAAAAUUACAAUUAAAUAUCAAAAGGAUUAAGGAGACUAUAUAAUCCUACAAUUACUUAAUUUAGCAACUUUAUUGACCUUUAAACUUGAUCGAUGAUGACUAUUUUAGGCGUUAACAAAAUAAUUCGAUUAAUAAAUUAACCGGAGUCGAAUUUUCCUAGGGUUUUUUAAAAGUAUCUUAUUCAAAGUUAUAACACGUAUUAAUCAAAGCAACAAAGAGGUGUGGUUUAGGUGCCACGAGAAUUAACCAAACAAUCAAAGUGAAAAUGAAAAUUGCUUUAAAGGAAAUGCCUGCAGGACUGCACGAUUAAGGUUUUGACAAUUAGAGAUGAAACUACUUAGAUUUAGAAUCCCUCUAGCUAAUUCGAGUUCACAAAUGANNNNNNNNNNNNNCAAAUGAUAUACAAAAUCCACGAUUUAAGAAGAAUAGGAUAAAUACAAAAAAUUGUCGCCAUUCUCCUCUAUCAAAUCACGCCUUUUUGGGUCCGGUAAUUUGCUACUUAUCUAGUAUCCCCGUCUGGUCUUUCGAGACAAAGAUUUGAAACCCGCUAGGCCAUUUAUCGAAUCAAAAUUGCCCCCGCGACAGACUAGUUCAUUCGCUCAUAGAUGAAGGUUAACGUCUAACCUAGUUGUUUGAUUUAGGUUUUAUAGAUAUGCAAACUCUCACAAGUCUAAGAAAAAUAUAACAAAUAUUCAUUCAAGUUGAUCAGGUAAGAACAAAUCGGAGACGAAAUCAAACAAAUACUGAAAUUCAUAAAACUCACAUAAAUCGACAAAAAUCAUAUCAUUCGUUCAUAUGAAUUAACCAAGGGAUCAUCUAAUCUAAGCAAGAGAAGUUUAGUUGCUCAUAAUCUUAGACAACAAAUCAAAAUUAGAAGAUGAAGACAUUGAUCCUAGAUUUACUGAAACAAAUAUGUAAAACCUAAUUUCUUCGAUCUUCCCGAGAACUUGAUUUUGCCAUUUUGAUCAGUUUGUCGAUUCCGAGCUCCUUGAAGUUGGCAUUAAGUUGCUCUCAAAUCUCUCAAUAAAGCUCUCAAUUUCGUCCAAGGAAUUCUGUCUUCAAAUGAGGGAGGGUUGGGCUUUAAAUAGAAGUUCCCAAAAAUCCUUUCAAUUUCGGAUUGUCAAUAUUGGUUAUGUGUCAAUAUUCGCCAAGUAUGAUUAUCCAUAGCACCAAUAAUUCUGAAAUUGUCUGAAUGGAGGGUCAAUAUUGUUUCUAUUUUCAUGUCAAAGAUGGCGCUAUGUGCAUAGCUCCAAGUUUGAUAGUCGAUAGUGACAAUGUUGACAAUGUGCAGGUCUUUGUUAUUUCCUCACUUCUCAAUCCAACAUAGCUCAUCCAUGCAUUUCUGUUUGGCUUCAAAUAGUGCCUCGAUAUCCUCAUGUACCUAAAAUCUUACAAAAACACUCCAAAACGACAUCAAAAGGACCCUGGACGGGUCCGAGACUCUUAAUCGAGAUAGAAGCUAGAAAUGCGAAAACAUCCUAAACUUCUACCCAAAACUAUUUUCAUAUGCAUGGAAUAUCACUUAAAUAAGGGCGAUGAACAUGAAAAAUUGAGUGGCAUCAACCGAAUACAUUCCACUAAUGUACACAUGAACAAAUGAUCAUGGCUUGAAAGAAGGGGAUACGAUAUUAUGGGGGUUAUGAAAAAGACUUUUUGGCUAUGAUUGGGUCACCUAGGGGAAAAUGUAAGGACAUGAUGGAUACUUUUGUGGAGGAGUUUUUCUAAGUUUCUCUCUCAUUAUAAUGAACCAAUACCGAGCGAAUUUAGUUCAGAAUCAUGCAAGAGCCAGAUUAACAACAAAUAGAGAAGACAACUAAAAUCAAUUUAAGAAAACAAUUUACUAGUGAAGCAGAUUAUCUAUACCAAAAAAAUUAUCUUUUAGACCUCGCAUUGUCUUGUUAAAUGGUAAUUUGAUAAGAUGCAUGUCAGGUCACAUCAAGUUAGAGAGUCUGUGAUACCUUAACACAUCAAUGUAAUUCUAAAGAACAAAUCAAUGGACUUUGAUCAUAGGCCUAUACUCCUAUCAAAUCUAGGUCCACAAGUACAUCAGCAAUUCAAGUGUACAAAUCACAAGAAAAUUUUCUAAGCAUGCCAAGUAAUUAAUUUAAAGAUGGUUCCAACACCCAUAAACAUUAGCUCAAUAAACAACUCAACAAUCAUUCUCACAAGAAAACACCAAAUGCAAUUAUGAUCAAACCAGACGCUACUACAAGCAAAUAUCAUCGAAACUGGAGCAAAGACUAGUCAAGGUGGGGUCAAAAUGGCUACAAAUAAUCGUGCUAUCAUGAAUUCAGUUUGGUGUCAUGCAAGCGCCGAAUUAAGAGCCAACCAGAAAAGACUAUUGCAAUCAAUUUAAGAAUGAAUCUACUAGUGAAGCAUAUUAUCUAUACUACAAAAAUAGUUUUUUAGGCCUCACAUCAUAUUGCUAUAUGGUAAUUCGAGAACAUGGAUUUCUGGUCACAUCAAGUUGGAGAGUCUGUGCUAUUAUGAACUAAGCAAAGCAGUUCAAAAGAACGAAUCAAUAGAUGUUGAUCAUAAGCCUAAACUCUUAUCAAAUCUAGAUUCAAAAGUAAAUCAGCAAUUCAAGUGCACAAAUCACACGUUAGUGUUCUAAGCAUGUCACGUAAUUGAUUAAAAGAAUGUUCCAGCAAGCUUGAGUUUAGGACCCACAUGCAAAAAAACUACGCAACAAGACUAGCACAUACAAAUCUUAUGCAAACCUACCCCACACUUAGUUUAGACAGUGUACUCACUUAAUGAAAUGAAAAAUUGCAUAAGAAAACUUGGAUUGUGUCAGAAAUCAAAGAGGCCCGAUACAUGACUCAUGAAGUUCAAACUCUACGGCGACACUAACUCAAUAAAAAUAAUAUAAUCUCUAAUCUGCUGAUGAUCUCGAGUUUGUUGAGGAAUCCCUCCUAGCUAUUGUUGAUGGAGUUUUGCACAUCUCCCAAGCACUUGGGAAUUUGUGUAUGGGUAAGCUUAAAUCUGCUAUGGUUGCCCAAUUUACAGGUGUUGCCCCUCUGAUUCGUGUUUUCAAUACUAUGGCCCAAAGACUAUGGGGAUAUGAAGGUCAGAUUCAGAUUUCGUUCUUAUCCGAAGGUUUUUUUUCUUCUGGAAUCUUCUUCAGUUGAACUAAGUACUUGGGUUUUACAAUGCUCUUGGCAUAUUCACCAUUCGUCUAUGAUUUUACGUCGUUGGGAGUUAGAUAUUACCCCUAUUGAUCUUUCUGCAACUAAACCUAUUUGAAUUACCGUCUGGGAUGUUCCUCAUCCGCUACUUACUCGUAAGGGUAUUAGCUGGAUUGCAACUCAGCUUGGCAGCCAUCAGGUAAAUUUGUUAGGGAAGGUUUGAAGGUUAAGAUUUGUGUCCCCCCCCCCUCUCGGAUGUUGUUGUCCAUGAUUCUUUAACUAUUAAACUGGUUCAUGGAGAUGGCUGUGUUAUUGGCCUUGAGCAUCCUGUUGUUUGCUCUUACGACAAGGCACAAAACAAGGUGGUCACUCAGCAAUGGAGGGAGAAGCAACCCUCUAACCAAGCUCCUCAAGGUGAUAUAAGUAAUGAUAGUAACAGGGUCCCCUCUCCUCCUGAAGGGUUUAGGGUUUAGGCCAGGUUUGAUGGGCGAGGUGGUAAGGCCAGGUUCUAAGGCGUCUAUGCAAGCUAAGAAAACUCUUGCAUUGCAGGCGCCUUCCACUCCAACCUCUCUUCCUGACAUUGAUGAAGCUGUCUCAUCGAAAGAAGAGGUUAUGGAUGAAGGGAUCAUUGUUGAUGAUGCACCUUCCCCCCUGCACCUAAUGUCUUUGUUGAUGCUUCUAUACCUCCAAGUAACCAUCGAUCUGUUAAACCUACUCUUGGGGAUUUCCUUAGUAAUCUAAAACACGGCCGGAGAGGGCGCAAAAAUCGUUGAUGAAGAUCUUUACAUGGAACAUUCGCGGGUUUAAUUCCCACUGUAAAUAUGUUAGUUUGAAUUCCAACAUUAGUAUAAGAUCGAUAUAGUUUCUAUUCUAGAACCUCAAAUUCGUAUUAAUAAUGUAGAUAGAUUAUUUUUCUACUAAGUGUCCUCUAAGUGUCCUUUAUUCCUCUUCCCAAUUGAUUCACGUGGUGAUUGAAAGCUCCAUCAAAGUCUAUUACACUUUUGUCUAUGCUGAUACAAGUCUUGUUCGGCUUGAGUCACUCCAGCCCUCUGAUGCCCCUUGGAUUAUCUCGGGUGACUUCAAUGCCAUCCUGAAUCGUGAUAAAGCUUCAAAUCAACCUUCCUCUUUCUUGGUCAUGGAUGAAUUCCAAAAGUGUAUUCAUAAUUGUGAUAUCUUCGAGCAUCCUUCUACUGGACUGAAGUUCACCUGGAUCAAUAACCGUGAAGAGGCUCCUAUUGCUCCCCAUCUAGAUAGAGCUCUUAUUAACACCCAAUGGCAGACCACUUUCCCUUUAAUAAGCUGACUGUUUUGUUCUUCUUUUGGAGACUGAUUGCAGGAUGACCUCCCAACCUAAACCGUUCAAAUUCUUCUCUGGCUGGGUUGAUCACCCUUGCUUUGAGGAGAUUCUCCUUGAAGUUUGGAGUCUUUGCACCCGGGGUUAUGGGUUCUAUCGUCUUUACUUGAAGCUUAGAAUGCUGAAGCGCUGAUUGAAAACAAUACUCAUUUCUCUGACAUUCAAGGGCAUGUUAAAUAUGCUACCGAGUAUCUUGUUAAUGCCCCCGGUAUGGCUUUCUCAACGCCUACCUUUUGUUUGUCUUGCUGAAGUUUCAAAUUGGUUGCAAAAAUUGGAAUCUCUUAAGGUGGUGGAGGAAAGUAUUCUUAGACAAAAAGCUAGGGUGCUUUGAGUCAAACAGGGAGAUCAAAACUCUGCUUUUUUCUUCAGCUAUGUUAAAGCUCAACGUUCCAAUAGCACCAUUCGCCAAUUAUUUACUGAAACUGGAGAUUUGCUGGAUUCCUUUAAUACUAUGUCCAUGGAAGCUUUUAGUUAUUACAAAAGGAUUUUGGGUACCUCUUCUCAUGUUUCUGUUUGUAAUCUUGAAGGUUUUUUUGUCAAUUUUAUGGACGACCCUCAGUAUGAUAUGCUAUGUGCCAAUGUUGCUGAUGCUGAAAUCAAAGCAGCUCUUUUUAGUAUGCCAGAUGAGAAAGCUCCUGGCCCUGAUGGUUAUACUGCAGUUUUCUUCAAAACAAUUUGGGGGACAGUGGGUGAUGAUGUGCUGGAAGCGGUUCAUUAUUUCUUCAAUUAUGGCAAACUUCUCAAAUGGGUGAACUCUAAUACCCUGGCUCUUGUUCCUAAAACGGCCAAUGCUUCUAUUAGGGGUGAUUUUCAACCCAUUUCCUGCUGCAACGUUGUCUAUAAGAUUAUCUCUAAGGUGUUAGCUAACAGGUUGUGCAGAGUUUUACCUUUCCUUAUUGGGCCCUCCCAAUCAACCUUCAUCAUUGGUCAUUUUAUAAGCGACAAUAUCACGCUCACGAAAUCCUUAGAAAUCCCUAUAUGUACCAUCAAAAUUGAUUUGAGGAAGGCUUUUGAUUCCGUGGGAUCACGAAAUCCAUAGAAAUCCCUAUAUGUACCAUCAAAAUUGAUUUGAGGAAGGCUUUUGAUUCUGUGGGAGACUAUUCGUAUAUGAGUUGAACUGACAAAAAAUAAAAUUUAUUUAUCCGUAACAGUAAAACAAAUGAUGAGUUGAAUUGAGAAACAAUAAAAUUCAUUUAUCCGUGACUCAACUCUAAUUCUAAGAAACCCAACUCAACUCAACCCAUUUAUAUCUCUACACUAUCCUCUUUGAUAUUAAAUGUACUCAUAAUUUAAUUUAAACACAAAAGGCGACUACCUUGGUUUUCUUGGGAACUUUUAGGGUGAGAUGAUGAAAAUUAUCUAUAAUCUAGAUUAUCGAUCCUAACCAUUAAUCUUCUAUUUUAGUUAAGGGCAUAGAUAAUUAAUUAGUAUGUAAUAUUCUCUUUCCUUUAAAUUGAUGUUUAUCCUAUUCACUUUCAUAUUUUAUGUUAUUGUUUUUUAAUUGAGAACAAAUGUUUUAUUUUCUUCUCAUUCUUCUUAAAGAUAAAUAUGAUUAGUCUUUCGUUUUCAAAUAGUAGAUCUCAUUCUUUUUAAAGAUAAAUACCAUUAGUCAUUCUUUUUCAAACUACCCGUUUAUAUGAACGUCUCCUGAACUAGUUCAGUUUUAUGUGAAUGUAACCUUGAUCUAGUUUACUAUAUUUGAUGCUAGUUUAGGCUACAGUAGAAAAUAGUGAAGCUAGUUCAGCUUAUUGUAGAAUACAGUGAACUAGUUCAGGCUACUCAUGACCAUACGACCUAAAAAAAUAGUGAACUAGUUUAGACUCUUGUAGAAUAUANNNNNNNNNNNNNNNNNNNNNNNNNNNNNNNNACCCUACUGUAAAAAAGAUGAUGUGUCCUAAGAAAACCCUUAUUGUCGUUGAUAAUUUUAGAGGAAGGAUAAGGAACUAAUAAAAAUUAUUUUCAAUUAAAAAAACAAGAACAGAAAAUAUGGAAGUUAAUUAGGCUUGGCAUUUUGGUCCGGAAAUCCGAAAAACUAUCUGAAUUCGAUCCAGUCAACGUGGGUAAAAUUCGGUUUGACCGGAUGGCGAACCCUAAAUUUAAUAAGAUAAAUAUCAAUUAAAAGGAAAGAGAAUAUUACAUUCUAAUUAAUUAUAUAUCCACUUAAAUAAAAUAAAAGAUCAACGAAUAUGUUUGAUUAUCUAAAUUAUAAAUAAUUUUCAUCAUCUCACCCUAUGCACUAUCAGAUUUCUUAACAUCAUUUCUUAAGUGAAGCCAUUGGCCUAACUUGUUCGCCUAGUUUUUGCCCAUAAAUUUGGAACCUGAUAUUAUAUGCAAAAGGUGGUUGAUCACUACUCAUUUAGUUAACAUUUGCCUUAUAUGUAAUAAUACUUGCAUUCUACAUAGUUUUAUUAUGUUUGGAAGUUGUGAUGAUGUAGCAAUCCGAUAUAGUGAUGUGGAGAUCAAUCAUUCUUCAAUAUUUGUAGAGUAUGGAAUUUUGUUGUGAUUUAUUGUAAAUAAAUUNNNNNNNNNNNNNNNNNNNNNNNNNNNNNNNNNNNNNNNNNNNNNNNNNNNNNNNNNNNNNNNNNNNNNNNNNNNNNNNNNNNNNNNNNNNNNNNNNNNNNNNNNNNNNNNNNNNNNNNNNNNNNNNNNNNNNNNNNNNNNNNNNNNNNNNNNNNNNNNNNNNNNNNNNNNNNNNNNNNNNNNNNNNUAUUAUGAUGUUGACAUUUAAUUUUGUAUAUUGACUUUCGAAAUGAUAGAUUUAGGAGGAGCCUCUCCCAAAUCAUAUACAUUUUCUAUCAUAUAGCUAAUAUAACUUUUUUAUAAUGUGAAUAAAACAUUCUCUUUGGUCAAUUUUUUGACUCCUCCUCUGACAACGGUUGCCAUUAAAACACAGUUGCUACUACCUCGAGGCACAUGUUACCGUUCCUAAUUCCCAUGCAAUUCAAAACAUAGUUUCUUGUUUCUUAUGUUGUUUGUAUCUGUUUGAUGAAUAAGAAAAGAAAGAGAGCAUCGAUGGCAGAGAAUUCCGUUUCAGAAAAGCUAAGCUUGGAAUGUUAUCGAUUGUAUAUACAAUUUGUAUUAAAACACAGUUUGCCAAUUAAACUAACACCCAUUCUCUGUCUUGUAUUAUUUGUAAAUAGAGUGAAAGGAAUAUAUUGUUAUCAGAACUGGCAUGUCUGCCAAAUGUCGUUAAUUAUAAAUAUAGGGCUGCAUAUAUAUCCUGGCUUAUCUGCAUUUCGUCAUAUGCUGUCCAUUGAUUCUCUUCUCAAGCCAUAUAAUGCACACAUAAUGAUAAUAAUAUUAUGACCCAUGGCGAGCAUAACUUACUUUAAUUCUGUUUUGGACUGUUGUAUAUGAAGACAAAAUAAAUAUUUGGAGUGAUCAACUGUUGUAUAUAUAAAGAAAAAAUAAAUAUUAAUUAAAAGGAAAUAAAUAUAUAAACUUAGAGAAACAGAGGGUAGAGUUGGCUUUGAACUCUGAAUGCUCUCUCCCAUUCUCUUGUGCCACAAAAUGCUAAGAGAACAAGUCUACAUUUCCAAUUUUCAACAGUGGAAAUUUGUUAAGCUCGACAAAAGCAAAACAACAAAUAUUGGUAGUCUGCCUUUUGAGAUUAAGUCUCAUUAUUAACUAUAAAAUAACAUUUUUUUUUUAGGAUAAGGAGAUAGUAAUUAAUUUUUGUUCUCGGCACAAGGGCUCAUUUUUUGUUUGGGAAUGACUAAAUGUUUGAGAAGAAUGAAACAUGUUACGUAAGGUUUAUGUAACGGCAGUUGUUUAUUACGUAACAUGUAAAAUUAAAUUUGUUACGUAAGAGUAAAGAUCGUUACGUAAGCCCUACAUAACACCAGUUGUUCCUUACAUAACAGGUAAGUCUGCUACGUAAGAGUAAAUUAAAGGUCGUUACGUAAUGGGCAGUUGUUCCUUACGUAAUAGCCAAAGUUAAGUCUGUUAUGUAAGAGUAAAGGUCGUUACGUAAUCCUUACGUAACGGUAGUUGUUCCUUACGUAACAGGCAAAAUUAAACAUACGUAAGAGUAAAGGUCGUUUACAUAAUCCUUACAUAAUGACAAUUACUCCUUACGUAACGGGAAAAUUAAGCACGUUACGUAAGAGUGAAGACCGUUACGGAAGCCUUAUAUAAUGGCAGUUAUUCCUUACGUAACAUGCAAAAUUAGGCAUAUUACGUAAGAGCAAAGGCCGUUACGUAAGCCUUACGUAACAGGCAAAAUUAAGCAUGCUACGUACGGGCAAAGGCUAUUACGUAAGGCUUACAUAAUGACAAUUGUUCCUUAUGUAACAUGCAAAAUUAAACUUGUAAUGUAAGGGCAAAGGCCGUUACGAAAGCCUUACAUAACGAUAGUUGUUCCUUAUGUAACAGGAAAAAUUAAGCAUGUUAGGUAAGAGCGAAAUUCGUUACGUAAGCCUUAAUUGGUUAACUUUGCAGGAACCCGCGAAAAAAAAGAAGGUUACGUUGGAAUCUAAUUAAAGACAAAUUAGUGGCCCUUAAUUGGUUAAAUUGCAACAUAUACAAGCCAAAUGACCGUUUGUCGAUCUGUCUAUCUCAGUUAAAACUCAAUUAUUCUAAUAAUUUUCAACACGUAUACGUCAUCUUUCAUUUUAACCCCUCUACAAAAAUGCUUGGUUGUUGGACUUUGUUAUACUUAUGCGGUAGCACCUUGCAUGUUCCAUGGGUUUGCAUUUGAUUCAAGACCUUCAAAUUUAUGAGAAUUCAAAUAAGGCUAGCUGACUUAAAUCGAACCCAACGACUAGGUAAAAAGAUGCUUCUCUCUGACAUCCUCAACUCUGCAAGGAUGAGUUAUCUGCCUACGUCCAAAUUGCUCAACAAAUACGAUAGACUUCUAGUUCAAAUAGUACAUGCAGCACCGGAUAACAAGAUGUAGACCUGGCUCUAUAUAUGUUUUGAGAUUAUCAAGAGUAAAAAUACCUCUUUCGGAUGUUGUUCCAUAAAACUAAGAGAAGGAAGUGCUAACUUCACCAUGUAAACGAACGACAUCCAAUUGGGGGUGGGAUUUUGAGGGUAAAAGAUAUAUUGGAGCAGGACUGAAUUAUAGCUAAGUGGCUACGUGAAUCACCAUCCAAAUCAGAGGAUCAGGCGCGGAGCUGGACGUCUACCAAAACCUCAAUUCCCCCACAUUCGACUUCUCGGGGUUGGUGUCAUUAUCAAUAGGGAAGCCAAUAUCAGAGGUUAAUAAGGCAGUGACAACAGGACCUCUAGGAGCAUUUAUACAAGGACAUGGUCAACGUCCCGAAUGACUGGAAGCGUCGUAGACAGGAUAUAACUUAACGACAGUGGAAGAGCUACUGGGAAAGGAUAUCAAUAGGAAGCCUACAAAAUCCCCAAAGAAACUAAUGGUUCCUCCCGCUUUUGAACAACAGGCGAGUGGUCACGGGGCCAUUCGCCCAACGAUGUGAAAAACUAUCGGGAGCAGGGAAACCCAUGAGGCUGGCUACCUCCCUCCACGACUUUAGAAUCGUGUUUCGUUCGUUUCCAUGUUUUUGUUCUAAUUAUAUUUUCAGAUAGUAUUUGAAUUAUUGUGUAUCGUUUGUUUUAUGUGUUUUCUCUGAGGGUAGGUAGCCUAAAUUUACACCUAGGAUCUGAUAAGGUUUAGUGGAAAUCGAGGCUGCGAGACUUGAUAAUUUUUAGAUUAACUGUUUCUCCCUUUCUAUUCGUUUGGGAGCGCAGUUCCUGACACAUUUUUGUUGAUGUAUGACUUUGAUUUUACUAAUUUGUUUUUUACACAAAAUUCGCAAGAUAUUAUUAAUCUCAAUUAGGCCUUAUAUCAUCAUGACCUUUCACAGUACGAUCUGUCGACCAACUAUACCCAAAAGAAAAAUUACACUCCUUUUGAAAGAAGAAUUCUCUUCAGCCGUUUGACGAGUCUCCGAACGAAAAAGAAUCUGAGGAGAAUGAAGUCUUAUCAGCAACUUCAAAGAUUUACUGCACGCUUAUUCCCCAAUCCACGACAGUUGUAGCAAAUGAUUUUCAUCUAUUAACCAAAGGAGAUUGGUUUCCGCACCAUCAACAUUAACAUUUUCCCCCUCUGCUUAAUAGUAUUAUAGUUUUUCACCCUUGAUCAUAUGAUUGGGAGGACUGUCCACCCUACUUCCCACCUUUAUAAUCAGAUUUUUCUUAUUAGAUUCACCUGUACGGGUUUCAUUCAACUUAAUGCUUUCAGCAUUAACAACACCAGCCAAUUUUGGCUCCACCACAUGAGCAACACUUCCACGAACAGCAAUAACAUUAUCAUUGUCUAAACCACCCUAUGGUUGCUUAGGACUUCCACUUGGAUAUGAGAGAUUCCAAUCAGAUUGUUGCUCAAGGGUAGAGUCAGGCCUAGGAAGAUCCUUAUCAAUAUCUCUGGUCUCCAUCGAAUUUUCAUGUGGGGUAGCACCUUCCUCGUCCUCUUACUGCAAGGCAGCAUAUCAGUUACCCUUACUAGCUUGAACUUCAUGAACCUGUGGUAUUUGGCGAUUGGAAGAGCUCCCAUCCGAUUAUUAGUCUUUUGAUUAAAGAUUCCCCCCCGCCCUCAUGCAACCACCAUAAACUUGAUCAUCAGCCAGUUUAGCCACCUUUGGAGAAGUUACAGGAUUACCUACACUACAAGAAAAUGUAGUUUUAAGGACUAUAAUUAUGGGACCUGCUAGUCCCUAACAGUAUUAGAGACUAUUUUAGUCAAUUAGUGACCGUUUAACGAUUUUGGGGACGGUUUUGUGUAUGGUCCUCAUAACUUCAUUUUCGUGUAGUGCUACAAGCCUAGAGUCUUGCAAAAUGUGGCACUUAAAAAGUAUACCAUACAUACCACACGUAGUGCAUAAAUCAUUCAGCCCUUGAUAUGAGAUAAAAAAUAUUUUACUCCCUCCAACUUAUAUUUCAACAACAACGGUGUCGCUAGGUCCAGUACCACACACACCCUCGCCAACUUGCCAUGUGCACCCUCCUCAGUGGCCCGGUUAACACUGACAAGUGUUCCGAUACUACUAGCAAUUCUUUUAACCGCCACUAGAUUAUAGAAUUAAAUCGACAAGUCGGGCAAUUGGACCCAAGCCACCAUAGUCUUCACCUCAGUCGUCCAAGGAUUGAAUUCCCUAAACCAUUGAUGGACUGUGAGAUAAGUUUCACCCAACAUCCAUGGUCCUCCUGUAAUCGCUGGUGCGUAGUCGAAUUCAUGUUUAAACUUGACCAUAUAACACCUGUUUUGAAGGUUAGAAAUUUGUAAAGGACUAUUCCUCACCCACAAGUAGUUAAGUCACAGAGCCAUCGCCGAAUAAGGAACCUGACGCCCGAGCCCUUUAACAACAAGAGCCGACCUCCAAGCCCUUUAACAGCAAGAGCCGACCUCCAAGCCCUACAGAACAGAGAAAUUUCUCUGCAGCGGUGAACAAUAUAGAAGGGCAAAGCGGUUCAUCAACUUCAUCAUUGAGAACAUCAUCUUUUUCCCUCAUAGCCUUAGCCACAUCUUCCGAAUCCGAUUCUGCAACAUACAAUUCCUCCUCCUAUCAGCCAUCGUCAAAGAGCUUAUUCAAUUGUUGGGUCCAUGCGUUUAUCGGAUUGACCGUCCCCUUCAUAUUUUCAUCAUGAGAAGUACUAUUUGGGACUUCGGUGUGUGUGAUGUCCUCCAGAAUUACCUCCUCCAUAUUCACUGUUUGAUUGAGAUCCAUUGGUCAAACUUUCUUCUUAGCUUGUUGAGCUUCACGAUCAUCCUUGGUAGAAGGAGAAGAAAAAGCGAAGGGAGGACGCAGAUUACCACUAGUAAUUAAGGUCCAUCACUUUUGGCGCACCCGCCGGCACUAUCUACAGAAUCUGCGCUAAAAAUAUCGCCUAAAAAUCCUUCUUAAAAUUUCGAAGCUAAAAUCGAAUAUGUUUGUGCUUUGGUUUUAGUACUAAAUCACUUUCACGGUUGAUAUAAAAGAAAAACUAGGGGAAGGAAGCUUGUGGUACAUUUUCAAAAUAUAAAAUCGUCCUCUAAGAAAAUUAGUCGAACCCAACAAACCAAUGAAUUUUCAGUAUCAAUGGGCUUCACCAACUGAAUACGAGUCUUUGAUAUGAUCAUAGAGCAUACAUUUAUCUUUUCUCAAAUAAUAUUAUAUACUAAACAUAAUAUAGAGGUGGAACUAUAUCCCACUUAGAUUGAAAUCGUUAGCAAACCCUCUCUCUUGUUUAGUUUACACAGUGAAGAACAAUUCCUUGAUGUAUGUUUAUGUCACAAUUAGGGCUGGCUUCACGGUUUCGGUUAAUCAUUUCAACCCAGUUAACCGAUCGAGCCAGACAAAGGUCAUUUUAACCAAAUUUGUGAUCGGUCGGGAAUGGUUAAGAAAAAUCAUAGAGUCGGUUAAUAGGUUAAUUCAGUUAAAUCGACAAUUGGCCGAUAUUAGCUGACCUAACUUAGUUUGAGUACUAUUUUAGUCUCAAACCUAAGUCUAACCCAAACCCAACCGAGCAACCCUUCAUUCUUCUUCCUUCUUCGUUCCCCAACCCAAAAACCCUUCAUUCUUCUUCUUUCUUCGUUUUAAUUAAAAGCAACAACAAUGGAACAACAAAUCAAAUACACCAAUGGAACAACAAAUCAAAUACACCAAUGGAACAACAAAUCAAAAGCAGCAGCAACAGCAACAGUAACAGCAGCAAGAACAUACCAUCUCUUCUCAAUCGAGCUCGACAACGCCUCUGGGACACCAGAACACGGCCGUCGACCGAUGUCGGCCAUCUGGAACAACAACAACAGCAAGAGGCCGUCGACUCUCUACCCGACCACCUAUCCGCAGGGAGGGUGAGGCUUGGAUCGGCAACGGCAAGUCGGCAUCUUCAUCUCUCCAUCUGUCCCACUCCAAGUCCACUCUUGAAUCGAUCUCUAACCAAAGCAAAAUAAAGAACCCAAGCAAAAAAACCGAAGACUAAUUUCAGAAAGGAUGCAAAAUUUUGUGUGUAUUCUGCUGUUACGUGACGGGCCCAGGCCAUAUUUCAUUUGUUUUAGUUUCGGACUCGAUAAUGUUAUUAGUUUCAUAUUUGUGUUAACUUUUGAUUGUUAGCAAAGAUAGUAUUUUAGUUGGAUAUUGAUAGAAGUAGGAUGGCUUUGCAGCUAUAAAUACCUCAAUGUACUUUACAGUUAACAUCAUCAGUAGUACAAACUAGUUUUAUUUAAUUGCAUUGGGGAAUAGCCAUUCCAUAUUUGAUUUUUAUUAUUCACAAUCAUAAUUCUUUUCUUUACUUUAAGAAACGCCAGUUCGUCGAGUAGAUACGUUUCCGAAGAUACGCCUUGGGGAAGUCGAUUCUAGCGUCGACCCAUCCCCGUCGUCACGCGAUCUAUUUCAGAACGUGACAUCCGCUUUGUUCUUCUCCUUCUUCUUGUUCUCCGAUUGAGGCUGUUGUUUGAGUUUGAGUCGGUUAAUUCAGUCAAAUUGGUUAGAGGUCGGUUAAAUCGGUUAUUUAACCGGCUGGUCAGUUAUCGGUCUGUCAAUUUAAUGGUUGCAUCCGAUCGAUCGGUUAAACCGAUUAAGCAAUUUCAAUGUUUUUCUCGACCAUUAACCGAAGGUUAUUAACCGAAUUAGCCGAAUCCCAGAACUAAUCUCAAUGGAUUUGCACAUGUAUGGAAUUUCCUUGGUUGCCAUCGAAAACCCUGGUAAACAUUUCGCAAAGAAAACAAAAUUAUGAAUAGUUGAAUCAAUCAAAUAAUACAAGUAGUCCAAGUAAUCCUCUCACCAACAACCAGAUAUGCAUGAUUGGGGACAAAUGUAUGUACCUGGAUAAACAAAUAGACAACAACCAUACAUCGUAAUCAAACAUUGAAACCCUAAACAAAUAUAAUGCGAUUAAUAUAUAACAGAAGAUAUAUAUCUAUGCAUAGAUGGAAUGAAAGAGAAAUGAUACAUUGGAUUGGAUGAUACUGUAGUUCAUAUAUCUGUACAUUUAAAGAAAGGGAAAAAAACACCAAGAAGGGUGUGGGAGAGUGGCCCGUGAUAAUGAGUGGUGAAGUAAGGGAGGAUGUUAAUUUGGGAUAGAAGGAGAUGAUCUCUCUAACCCCACAAAACAAAACUGAUGAGCAGCAGCUUGCUCAAGCUACAUGACAAAACUCCUCUACCAAAGUCUGUGGAUAUACUGACAAAAUAAAAUUCUCUUGGGAGGUCUGGCUGAAUAGCUAGCUGCAACCCUCUUUCACAUGCCCACCAAAAUCCAACACUGAACGCCUUCAGCAAUAGUAGCAGCAUCGAAUCCAGCCAUUCACUAUUCUCCUCCUCCUUUGCUUUCUCGAUCUUUGUCUUGCUAGCUAGCUAGCUAUUAUCCUCUGCCAGCCAUAUAGCAGAUAGCUCUACCUCUCACUCUCUCACCCUGUGGCUGGCUAUAUGUGAAACAGGUAUCAUCCCAUUUCAUCAGACAUAUGUACCCUUUUUGGUUUAUAUACCCUUUUCUUUUCAUACAGUUGAAAAGGAUCAACGUAACGUACCUUUCAAUUUUAGUUAUUAGCUACAACAACAGAACAGCUACGUCUCGUCUCAUCUCAUCUCAUCAAUCAAUACCUGAUUACCUGUCCCUGACCGAUCCAUUUCUUUUCUGUUUUGCCUUUCCUUCAAACGGUAAUAAUCAGCACAACCUCUUGACCAAGCUAGCUAGCUUACAAUUGUUUUUGUUUGGAUUUUGGAAUGAAGCAUUAAAAGAGCAUAUAUGUGAUUCUGGAUCUGGAUGGAUCUGAAUCCUUUUGAUUCUCCUUUUACUCAAUUUGACUUCCAAUAAACGUUUAAAGCUAGCUAGCUAGCUCUGUUGUUUCUCCCGUUUUGUUUUUGUAUGAACAAGCUGAUUGAUCUGUCCUUUUCUCGCUUUGCCCCUCUAGUCUUGCCAAUGCCAUCCACACAAAAAAGCUGAUGAUGAUGAAACUGAACUGUCUCGCUCGCAGCAGGAGCAGUAGUUAGCUAGUAAGUAGUAGUAGUAGUAGUAGUAGUAGAGGCAAAUCAAAUCCCCUCCUUUCUCCCUUACCAAAAACACCAAACAUGCAUACGUCCAUUUUUGUAAAUGGCUCGUUUCCCAACAACAACAACAACAAUAAUAAUAAUAAUAAUCCUCAGAGUCGUAGACAGACUGACAUACGACUAGUCCUUUUCUCCCUUUUCUCUUGUACCUCUUUUGCUUAAUUAGCUAUUAGCUCUCCCUUUUUACACUUUCUGAUCAUCUCCUACAUAUCCCUUCUGCCUCUCUCUCUACUUCCUUUUUGUCUAAUGAUACAAUUCACUGAAACCCUACCCGUCGUUCCACCACCACCACCCUUGCACCACCACCAAAACACUCCAACCACCAUGAUAAAUAACAACAAUACUUCCUUUUUGUCUAACUAAUUAAUUAAUGAUGCAAUUCACUGAAACCCUACCCGUCGUUCCACCACCACCACCCUUACACCACCACCAAAUCACUUCAACCACCAUGAUCAAUAACAACAACAACAACAAGAACCAGCAGACAGGAUUAGGAGGAGGAGGAGGCGGAGUACUGGGUCAAUGGCCAGGCCUACUCCCAAUUACUACUACUACUUCCAAGUCAUUUGGAAACUUCGGAGACGCAAACUGCAUGGAGCAGCUGUUAGUCCACUGUGCCAACGCUAUCCAAACCAACGACGCCACUCUCGCCCAGCAGAUACUCUGGGUCCUCAACAACAUUGCACCUCCAGAUGGCGACUCCAACCAGCGGCUCACUUGCGCCUUCCUCCGAGCCCUCGUCGCCCGCGCCGCUAAAACCGGCACCUGCCAGCUCCUCGCCGCUCGCUACUCCUCCACUUAUAACAACCUCGUUCCCAUCCCUACCCACCGCUUCUCCGUCGUCGAGCUUGCCUCCUUCAUCGACCUCACUCCUUGGCACCGCUUCGGCUUCACCGCAGCCAAUUCCGCCAUCCUCGACUCCAUCGAGGGAUACUCGUCCGUACACCUCGUCGACCUCGGAUCCACCCACUGCAUGCAGAUCCCUACCUUGAUCGACGCUAUCUCCUCCCGGUUCGAUCCCCCACCACUAAUCAGGCUUACAGUCGCCGCCGCGUAUGAAGAAAGGUCCACCACUACCCUGCCACCGCCUGUACUAGAUCUCUCCUACGAAGAAUUGGGGUCAAAGCUGGUCAACUUUGCAAGGUCACGAAACGUAGCAAUGGAAUUCAGAGUCGUGACGUCCUCCUACUCGGACGGAUUCCAAUCAUUAAUCGAGCACCUCCGAAUACAACAAGUCCUCUACUCGGAAUCAUCAUCCACCAGUACAGAAGCACUGGUGAUUAACUGCCACAUGAUGCUGCACUACAUUCAAGAUGAAACAACGUUAUCAUCGUCGAUGUCGGCGAGGGAGGUGUUUCUGAAGUUGAUAAGGAGCCUGGAGCCGACGGCGGUGGUGGUGGUGGAGGAGGACGCGGAGCUGAGUGGGGGUAAUUUGGUGAGCAGGCUGAGGUCGGCUUUCAACUACUUUUGGAUACCGUUCGAUGCGGUGGAGGCGUUUCUGCCGGCGGGGAGUAGGCAGAGACAGUGGUACGAGGCGGAGGUGUGUUGGAGGAUAGAGAAUGUGAUAGCUCAGGAAGGUGUGCAGAGAGUGGAGAGAGGUGAAGGGAAGUCGAGUUGGGUCCAGAGGAUGAGAAACGCUGCGUUUAAGGGAGUUGGGUUUGGUGAGGAAUGCGUGGCCGAGGUGAGAGGGAUGCUUGGGGAACAUGCCGCAGGGUGGGGUUUGAAGAAGGAAGAGGAUGAUCAACACCUCCUUCUCACCUGGAAAGGUCAUAACGUUAUUUUCGCCACUGCUUGGAUUCCUAACUAGCUAUAUAGGGUUUUCCUCCUUAUAUUUUUUUUCUCUUUAAGCUUCUUCAUGAUGUAGAUUAAUUUGUAAGACAUUGUUAAUCAAUGAUCUGUAAUUUUCUUUCCUUACUAUUUGUUAAUUAAACUCGAUCUAUUUCCGUUCUGGUCAGAAUAAUGUGUCCUUAUUUUGUUGAUUGGGUUGUGUAGUUAACGUUUACAUUGAUUGAAAACGGAUAUCAGUUAACUAACUAGUUACAAUCGAAGAUAUAUAAUUGAAAUGCUUGAAAGAUAAGAUAGCUUGAUCAGCAUGCACUGAUUAGAUCUAAGAUACAGGUUGGACCCGUGUUGACUAUCUUAACACGAAAAUAUCUUCACACCAAGCUUAAUUUAUCUCCAAAGCUUCAUUAUGAGCCUCAUAAUUAUACCAACAGCACACUAUGCAAAUCCCUCCAUUUCAGUCAAGGUUUCACUCUUGUUAUUACACUCGAAAUCGAUGAUCUUCUUGAGUUUCUGUUAGUAGCCUUUGGAAGCUUGAUCUUGUCUAGGUCUGAUUUGAUGAUGCAAUCAUAGAAGAUAUAUACUUUCUAUACACAAGCUAUAUAUCUUUUAUACUUGAUUAGUUUAAAUGGCCGCGCGGAAUUUUGAAUUGAAGUUGAUAUGACAUUGCAUACUCAUAUAAAAACUAAUAAAUAGUUACAAAAGUAUACAUAUAAGAUGGUAAAUAAAAAACUCUAUAGAUAUGAAACAGUAAUAAAUUCGUGCAUACAAAGAUGGAGUGUAAUUAUGUUAAUAGGAAAAUUAUAUUCUAAAAAUUGUAUGAAGAGAUCUAGAGGCAAAUUAAAAUGAAGGUAGACUUGACAACGGUCGGGUUCGGAUAGGUGAUAUUCGUUACCCACCAGUUUUAGUUUCGGGUCCGGGUAAUACCCGCCGUAUAUAUAACAUUUCGGGUAGUAAAUGUCACACCAUAUCCAUACCCGUUAGUUCGGAUAUGUGAUAUAUAUUACCCACUAUAUAUAAUCUUUCGGAUAGUAGAUGUCAUUNNNNNNNNNNNNNNNNNNNNNNNNNNNNNNNNNNNNNNNNNNNNNNNNNNNNNNNNNNNNNNNNNNNNNNNNNNNNNNNNNNNNNNNNNNNNNNNNNNNNNNNNNNNNNNNNNNNNNNNNNNNNNNNNNNNNNNNNNNNNNNNNNNNNNNNNNNNNNNNNNNNNAUUAUUAACUAAGCUUGAUAGCCGCGUGAUAUUGUGAAAAUUUUAGUCGUUAUUAGUGUUGACUUCAUUAACUCUUAGGUUAUGGUGAUUGCAAUGUGCCAUAACAACUUUAAAUAUCUGAAAUCUCAUAUCCUUCUAAAAUUUUUAUUAUCGAGAGAACAACUAUUAUAUUGUAGCAUCAAUAUUAAAAGCAUUUAAGAAAUCAGGGUAGAGAGAAGAAGUUGGCAGCUAGUGGAAAUGAGGAAGAGGGUCUCAACUAUNNNNNNNNNNNNNNNNNNNNNNNNNNNNNNNNNNNNNNNNNNNNNNNNNNNNNNNNNNNNNNNNNNNNNNNNNNNNNNNNNNNNNNNNNNNNNNNNNNNNNNNNNNNNNNNNNNNNNNNNNNNNNNNNNNNNNNNNNNNNNNNNNNNNNNNNNNNNNNNNNAAAGUAAAAUAUAUCAAGAUUGUUUUAGUGUUCAAGUUGUAUGUCGAUUACCCCAAAAGCCUCAUAUUCGAAUCCAACACAUCUCAUCAAAAAAAUACCGUUGUAAUAUUUAUGUACCAUUUUAUAUUGAUUAAAAUAUAUACUAUAACAAAAUAUAUCAAAAUUGAUAUCAUUUAACUUAAAAAAUUAAAAUAAACAACUAAUCAAGAAGGAAAUAUAUUUCAAGAGUUUCAUAAAUCAUUAUUAACAAAAAUACAAAUAAAGGGGAGUUAAGAAAGAAAAGAAAAAAUGUGAGAGAAAAGUUAAAAAUUGAGUUGAAAUAGAAUAUAACUGGAAGUGAAAACCAAAUAAAGCAAGUAACUAAUAAUUACAUUGGAGGAAAGGGGUACUGUUCAAUCACCCCUUACCUUUUUUAAUCUUAAUCAUUUGUGUAGUUAUUAGUCAUUGGAUUUCAACUAUAGCUGUUUAUAAAUCAAAUCGAGUCGAAUUUUGAUGUGCUCAAGUUUGGCUUGGUAAGUUUUAUGUGAGCUCGAAUUUGAAUUUGAGUUAGAAAAUUUUGACUUGUCAUGAGCUUGAGCUUAUUCAAGUCUACCUUGUUAACUAGAUUUGACGAGUGAUGUGAUGUAUUUUCGACACACCUUUUCUCGUUAUAAAUUAUAUUUUUGUGUGUCGAAAUGUAUUCAAAUUUGGGUUUUGAGUACAUGUUUGGUUCUCUUGCCCCUCGGGGCCGUAUUAUGGUGUUUGGUAUGUUUUUGGUAUAUUUUAGGUGUCAUAUGACAUUAAGAGAUAAACCAAGACAUGACGGGGACGCCGGAACAACUCAAAGCGUUCGACUUGGGAAGAAAGCGUCACUGUUUAGUAUUUUGAGCAUAACUCAUCGCUCCGAAGUCCAAUUGAUGCAAGGUCAGCGGCGUUGGAAAGAGAAUUCGAUUAUCUACAACUUUUGUGUUGACACCAUGGUCAAAUUACGUAUAAUGAAGGAACAAGGCGUGUUCCUCCGUUGAAAUUGCCCGAGAAAGUUACAGGGGCCGAACACGGCCAGGAACACAGUCGUGUUCAUGGAACACGCCGUGUUCCAUAUGGAGCACGCCGUGUCCCACCCCAGACGGGUUUUCAAGUCCUUUUCCUUCUCCAACAUGGUCCAGAAGCCUAUAAAUACCCCAGAGACCCCCAAGGACGAGAUAUACUUCAUUAUACACAUAUUUUUCGAGCUCUUGGAGAGAGCUAAAGUUCCAGAGAGACUAUUGAAGCGAGAGGAUCAAUCAAGACUGCCGAAGUGCAAAUCAUCAAGUCGAAGAUUGGGAUUUCCACGAAGAACAUGUCGUCUUCUCCGGUUUUUCUUCUCUUCUCUUGUGAUUUAUUUUCCGGAACCAUGAGUAGCUAAACUUUCUGUGUUGUUCGGAUGAGAUGAAGCUUUAGCUAAGCUUUUGUAUGGAUGGUUUGAUUUGUUAUUGAGGUUUAUUCAGACUUAUGAUGCGUUCUUCCUAAAACCUAAUUUCUUAUUCAAUUUUGACUGGCCGUCUUGAUUGAGUCGUCGACAUUGAUUUGUGGGUCCGAGAGGAACAUAGGUUGAUAGGUCGCUUAGGAAGAACCCUAGAUUAUUCGUUAGCUCGAGAGAGGAGCGAAUCGCUUUGGCGUUUUGUACGGUUAUCGUUGUGGCAUUUCAUCGAACAUAAUUAAUGCGUUUUGUUUAGGUGUAGAUUAGCUCGAGAGAGGAAUCUACAGUUAGACGGAAUAGAUCCUUAGAGGCGCGAGAGUGAUCUAAGACUACAUUAGGAAAUUGCCGAGCCGUUAUAACCUGAAUAACCGAGAUAAUUAAUCAUUCAUUCAUACAUUGCUAGCUUAGGUGGAUUCGAAUCCGAGCAACCUUCAUUCCUAUUUGAAACUAAAUCUCUUGAAUUCGUUUAACUUUCAAUUGCAUGCUUAGUUGUUAAUCGGUUACUUUAAUACAAUCUAAAAACAAUUUCAAUCUGUUACUUGGUUUAGUUUGAUUGUCAACUUGAGUAAUAAGAAUAGAAAGACCCUAGGGAGAAUUAUGAUCCCACUAGAGCAAUCUAGUGGGGAUUUGAAAGCGGGGUAAAAUCCGUGCAUCAAUUGACAUACUCAAAUUAAAUAUAUUUGCAAUCUUUGGAUAUACUAAAUAUAUUAUUUCGAAUUCAUUUUGAAGCUUAUAAGCUAAAAAAGUUUGACGAGUUAAGCUAAAAGAAGAAGAUAUUAUAAUAUAUAUAAGUUUUUACAUUUUUCAAUGAAAAAAGUUAAACCUAAAUAAUUUAUCACUUAUAUUUUCAUUAGCACAAUCACAAAUUAAAUAUAAUUUAAUUUAUAUGGUUUUCGAGGCAAAACACAUGUUGCAUUAUUAAGUCUAUUAACGAACUAGAUACUCGAGCUAAUAUCCGAGUUGAAUCUCGAGCUCAAGCCAGCUCGCGAGCCUAUCGAGUCGAACAUACCUUGGCUUGAGCUUGACUUGUUUAAAAUUGAGGCAAGUCAAACGAAAUUUUACUAAACAAAACAUCAAACUGCUCAUGAGUUGCUUGUUUCAACAACGACCCUAAUUAUAAUACUAUUAUAAAACUAAAAUGAAGAAGAACAAGAAUAUCGGAGAAGAAGAGUAUUCUUAUUGAGGUGUGAAAAUGAUACAAGAGAGAGCGCUAUUUAUAGGUUCUAGAAUUCAUAAUCAUCACAUCAUGUUGCAACAUUUUCUUGCAACUCAAGGAUAUAUGCAAAAUAAAUAUCAUCCAUGAUUUAUAAAAUCUUCUCUUGAAAUGGCAGUGUAGCUUUAUAAGUUGGGUUCACAGCCCACCAAGUGGUAAAAUUACCACAUGAGACCAAUUUAUGGUCAACCAACAUAAAUAUGACCAAGAUUACUACUUCAAAACCGAGUAGUUCUUGUGUCUUAAUAAAGGUCGAUUACAAUCGACAUAGAGUCAUAUAGUGAUCUUACUACCAUCCGGGCACUAAUAGCCAUGUCAUAUCCAUAUAACUUUUUGUUGGAUAUAAUUAGUAUAUCAUUGAUGAUAUACGAAAAUCAUGUUCGAGAGAGAUGCACAGUUGGCAAGUUAGUGGUAAUCUUCCACAUCUUUCAUCUCGAACUCUAUAGCUAAUCAAUAGUUGAUUGCUUUGAGAAACUCUUUACGAGCUCAAUAAAGUGUAUGUCAUCUAUGUAACAAAAGAUGAUCACAUCCAAUUAUGUCAAAAUAAAAGAAACACAUUUUAAAAUAUAAAAUUANNNNNNNNNNNNNNNNNNNNNNNNNNNNNNNNNNNNNNNNNNNNNNNNNNNNNNNNNNNNNNNNNNNNNNNNNNNNNNNNNNNNNNNNNNNNNNNNNNNNNNNNNNNNNNNNNNNNNNNNNNNNNNNNNNNNNNNNNNNNNNNNNNNNNNNNNNNNNNNNNNNNNNNNNNNNNNNNNNNNNNNNNNNNNNNNNNNNNNNNNNNNNNNNNNNNNNNNNNNNNNNNNNNNNNNNNNNNNNNNNNNNNNNNNNNNNNNNNNNNNNNNNNNNNNNNNNNNNNNNNNNNNNNNNNNNNNNNNNNNNNNNNNNNNNNNNNNNNNNNNNNNNNNNNNNNNNNNNNNNNNNNNNNNNNNNNNNNNNNNNNNNNNNNNNNNNNNNNNNNNNNNNNNNNNNNNNNNNNNNNNNNNNNNNNNNNNNNNNNNNNNNNNNNNNNNNNNNNNNNNNNNNNNNNNNNNNNNNNNNNNNNNNNNNNNNNNNNNNNNNNNNNNNNNNNNNNNNNNNNNNNNNNAGGACAGCCUACCCAAAGCCAGCCUUCCGAAGAGUUUCAUUGGUGUUAUCGGGGCAUUUAUUUCGACUCCUUCUACUCGGAUUCAAUGGAACGGUGGCCUUUCCGAGCCUUUUAAACCUGGGGGCGGUCUUCAGCAGGGAUGGCCUCGAGUGGUCUAUCUUUUUUUUUUUUUUUUUUUGACACAUUUGUAAUAAGAGAUUACCCCGUAUCGACGUCAUAUUUAUUGGAGCAUUUGUAGUUGGCAUAUGAGAGCUUUACUCUAUUUGGGUCAUUAAAGGCGUCAAAACUUUACUCUCGUUGGGUCAGUAAAGUGUCUGGCAGAUAAUGAAUUAUAUAUUUUUGAACUUCAAGCUCAUAUUGCUUAGUGCGAGGAUCAAAAUAAUAUGAUCAUUCAUCUAAUCUCUUGGCCAACUUUUGUUUUCUCCCCCUAAUGUUGGGAAGUUUAAAUAUAAACCUCCAAACGAGUCAUCAAAAUUUCAUGACAACGAUGUAAAUAUUUUACCAUCGAUGAACUCGUAAUCAAUAUAAUUUCUCAAUCAUCGUUGACAACCCAUCAUAAUAAAAUAUGGUGGAGCAAUUCGAAUGUGUAUAUACAUAUAUGCAUUGAUGAGCAAUAUGUGGUUUGGACCCAAAAACCAAAUAUAAUGGAGGAAUUCAUGAUAAUUUUUUGGCGUAAUGUUAAUUUGUAUUGUACAUGUAAAUCAUGUAAAUGACAUGUUCACAAUAAUAUAAAUGGAAAAUGUUCGUUUCAAUGACACAUUUUUCGUUAUUGGAUAAUCAUGAAAAUAUGCUCAUAACCAAAAUGGUUGAACUAGCAAUCUCGCAAAUUCUAGUUUGCUUUCAUAUAUACAUGUGACCUUCUAGUUGAUACAUCAAUUAAAAUAAUUGGCUCACAUGUUGGGCGUAUGGAUCCAUAAAUAUCACCCUUAUUUUGUUGUGUGUAAGAUAAAUGAUCUUACUUUAGUUGAUGAUUAUCCAUCAAUUAACUCUAUUUGAGAAUAAGCAACCAAAAAUGAGUUAUGUUUUGUUGGAUAUUUACUCAACAAUGGGUAACAGAAAGGAAACCUUGUUGACAGAACAUAAAAUCAUUUGUGUUCCCAGGGAGUAGGGGGGUCACAAGGACUACUUAAAUCCCUAUAAUCUUAGGAAUCAUUUCUUUAGAAUACCCAAGUUGAGACCUUCAUGCACAACAAUGUUCAAGAGAACAUACUCUUUAGAUUAUCCAUAGAGGUACUUAUCGAUUCACAUUAUGAUUGAACCGGGAUGGUCACACCGGUUAUGUCAGAUAAUACUUGUCAUGACGAGUAAACUUAUAGUGUACAUUGAUAUGUAUCUCAAUCAAAAUCACAUAUGUGUGGUACAAAUUGAAGGACAACAUUUAAUAGUUUCAUGGUCAUAUACCACAUUAUCGUUCCUCUCCCUUGUGAUCAUCAAUAUAUAAAUCCAAAAGAACUUGUUCCUUCUUGAAUAAUCCAAUAGCUCUACUAGAGCUUGUGAGUGAUUUUGUACUACUCGUUAUAUGGUGCAUUAUCGAUGAGUUAUAUGUCACAAUGUAUUAUGUCAUUUCUCAUCAUGGCAAUACUCAUUUUGCAAGAAAAUGAUGGAUAGUGCAAAUGAUAAAUAGAGAUACUCCAUCAUAGCCGUCUUAACCAUCCAUGUCACCAAUUAUGGGAUGAAUAAUCUUCACAAUAUAAAUGUACAACCACCAAGGAAAAGGUUCCAUAUAGAAACAACAAUAAUAACUUGUUCCAUGUGCUAAAAAAAAUGUAACAAAUAAGUCUUUGCACAUUUGAUGGCUUAUGAAGCAAUAUCAUUUGUAUAUGAUCAUCAAAAUAAAAUUGAUGGAUGUAUCCCCUUUUAUGUGAUUGAAAUUGUUCAACAUCAAUUUACAACUCUCUUUCAUAUAAAAGAUGUAUUUCUCAAAAUUCAUGACCAUACCAAAUAAUAGAUCUUUUCCUCCACAAUCGUGUAUUGGUGUUUACACUUGUGGGAAUGUAUGUAUGUAUAUAUUUGUCACUUUGUGGAUAUAUGAAUAUAAUAAUUCACUUCAUGGAGUGAUAUGGUGUCUCAUUGGACCACCAAACAUUUGAGACAUAUAAGAUAUUCGAUCUUUUCCUUAGAAUAUUUGUCUCUUGGUACUUUAAUCGUAUCACACUUUAAGAAAAUUUGCCACUUGAGGUGGUCAUACAUGGCUUUGACAUUACGCCACAAGAUACAUGAGUCGUUGCUCAUUUUUGUCAACCAUUCAUGAAGAUUAUGGCGAAUAAGAUUAAAGCUAUGGCUUUAUCUUGAGAAGAUGUUUUAUUAUCGUGUUUGAUGGUUUCACGAAUACCAUUAUAAAUGAAUUUUAGCUUCCAAUGCCAAUGAAUGGUGAAGCUUGCCCGAAACAUGGAGGGGCUCAAAUUACAAAAUAUUUAAUAUAUUAUAAGAAAUAAAUAAAAUAUCAUUAACUUGAUAAUAAACUCAUAUAAAAUUAGUAAUAAACCAUUAACUAAUAAUAAGUAUAACGGCUAUUUGAUAACAUAAAUAUCAAUAUAAUAUAGUCAUAAAUUUGAAAAGUCACAACAAGUGAAUAAUUAUGAUUGUAAGGAAGAAAAUGUUAACUCAUAUUAAAAAAAAAUAUAGUAAGGUCAUAAAUUUAAUAAUAAGGUCAUAUAAAGAAAAUAAAAACAUAAAGCAGACAAUAAAGUAGAAAUCAAUGAAGAAUUAUUCGGCCAUACUAUUCAAAUGGUAAGCAACCCAUAAAUAGGAAAUUAAAUUAUAUUAAACUAGUAGUAAUGUAAGUGAUUGAUGUGCAUGAUGAUAAAGAACAAUGACUCCGAUUGUUGAAAAUAAGUAUGAGAAAUAUUAUAGAAAAAUGAACAAUAACGCCAGCAUGUAUUAUGCAAAUUUCAUGCACCCGAAAGUAAACUGCAACCCACGCAUAUACCAAAUAGGCAAAUAAUAAAUUUUCAAAACGCGAGUAUCAUGAGUGUAAAUCUCAUUAGCCAUAUCGUGGGCAUCAAAUUAAAUAAAUAUAUCUUACGAAUAUUAUAAAAAAUGAACUAUAAUUUAUAAAAACAGACUGAAUAAAGUAAAAACGGAUUAUACGAAGUAAAAACAAAUUGUUUUAGUAAAACACGGACGGUACAAAAUAAUUUUUUUAAUUAAAAAUAUUUUAAUUUAUUUACAAACGGUAUGAAAUGAAAAACGGACGAUAUAUAUAGUACGGACUUUUCUUUUCGCCAAACUGAAAUCCAAACCAAUCAGUUCCAUCUGUUCUUGUAUUGGUUCUGCAUAUAUGUAGUAUAUAUAGUAUUAGAUGAAAUUUCGGUUACUGAACAUGAAAAUAAGAAAAUCCGUAAACAGCGCGGUUCAUCCUUCAAUGUAAAAAGGACACCAUUUGUUUUGGGGGUAUGGAUCAGAAUCUUCUUGGUGGGUGUAUUGCAUUAUUAUUAUUUAUAUAAUAUGUUCUUGAAACUUGAACCCUGAAUGUGCUGCUGCGAAAUUCACUUUUUGAUUUUUAUUUUGCGCAAGGGUAUAUGCCAGUAUCACUUGUGAAUUUGGUCCAUGGCAUUUGCCGCAUUCAUAUCAUUUUGUUGUUGUGGUUUUGCCAAUAUGAUCUUCCUUCUUCAUGGUUACAAGUUACAAAGCGAAAGCAGACAGAAAAUCCAAACCUGGUCCAGAAAUACAACUGGAUAGUCCAGGUCCAAAUCACUAAUUUUUUGACCGGGUCGGGUAAACCCGGAAAUUUAAAAUUUGAGCUGCUGGCCUGAAAAUGAAUCCGGGUCGGCCCGAUUCGUGAAACCCUAUUCUAAUUUCUAACCUAACAAAAAAAAUUUCAUUACCGACUCUGCGCCGUUCUCCUUCUCCCUAUCUCCCUAAUCAUCUCCCUUCAACCUUCUCCAACCUCUACUCGAUAAUCGACAUCUCCGGCUUCGCGAUGGCCGACGGCGACUCCACCUGACCGCCUCAUCUCCAUCGGCCGCCUGCCGUUUUAUCUUCACCUCCCACCUCCACCUUCAGUUGAGAUUACACCAGUACGCUAAUCGGGUGAAUCAAAUUACACCAUCCUCAUUGUUGCUGUUGUUUUGCUCGUAUUUGUGUAUGUCGACAUUGCUUGUAGUGCUUUGAAGAUGAAAGGAACUUGUCUUCUGGGUAUUAAAUUGCUCUCAGUCUUCCAGAUUGAGCAUAGACAGAUAGAAAUGCAGGCGAGAUGGAUUGUAAGUAACUGAAACAGAUAAUAACAAGAGAAAGGGCAAAACUGAAAGAAGGAAUUAGGGUUUGGAGAGAAAUCAAAAGGCAUGAGAAGUAUGAUUUUGAUUAAGAGGAAAUUAAGUCUAGUGUUUGCAAAGUCUAUUUUUAGGGUUGUUAAACGACGCCUUAUAUUUUACUGUCAAACGUCUUAAUAUCGUCACAAUAUUUGAGUUUGGUAAUCAAAAUGACGUGAACUUCCUUUUAACAGUAAAAUGAAAUUCUUUAUAAGACGCGGAAAUUCAAAAAACUUUCCCACCUCAUUCAAACGAAUAUUUAAACACUGUCGCCGUCUUUGUGACCCUGCCGCCCGACACCCUCCACCGCCGGACCCCCUCCGCCACCGUACCGCCACCGAGGUAUUAAAAUUGUGAAAGGCGUGCCGACCGCUCGACGACGGCGUCGGCGGUCAACGCCGACAGCCCGACCAUGGCGUUGGUUGUCAGCGCCGACUGUCAGGACUGAAAUGAGGCAUCGCAAUCAUCAUCCUCAUCCCCGUUACCGUCCGACGGGAUCUGCUCAUCGUCGCCGUCGGAGUCAUCCCGAAUGGUAUGGAAGCCAUCGCCCAAAUCCGGAGGCUGAGUAGCAAAAAUCUCAUCAACCGUCACCUCUCUCUCAGCAGAGUGCAAAUCGGGGUCCACGUAUAUCGGUCCAGGAAUCUGAAACUGCGCACUACACUGCAUAUCAUCCCCUAACCUAGAUUUCUUUCCCUUCCAUUCUCUUGCACCAAUUUUCUAUCUGAUGCAGAAAUAGCAUGAUCGAUAAACCACGGCAUGUCAUCAUCUCCCAUCGACAUCGCUUCUAACUGUAUAUGCAAUUGAAAUCGUAUCUAUUAAUUACAAAACUAACACUUUAAAUUUGAACUAAUAAUUAUAAAUGUUAAACUUGUAUUCACUAGUUCACCUUAAUUAUAUUGGGGGAUUGCUAUUUCACCUUAAUUUUAAUAACUAAUAUAUAAUUUUUAAUUAUUAGUAAAAUAAAUAUUCAAUUACGAGUUAUAAUGAUUAAUAUCUCAUUUUCAAAUAUUUUUCAUAUNNNNNNNNNNNNNNNNNNNNNNNNNNNNNNNNNNNNNNNNNNNNNNNNNNNNNNNNNNNNNNNNNNNNNNNNNNNNNNNNNNNNNNNNNNNNNNNNNNNNNNNNNNNNNNNNNNNNNNNNNNNNNNNNNNNNNNNNNNNNNNNNNNNNNNNNNNNNNNNNNNNNNNNNNNNNNNNNNNNNNNNNNNNNNNNNNNNNNNNNNNNNNNNNNNNNNNNNNNNNNNNNNNNNNNNNNNNNNNNNNNNNNNNNNNNNNNNNNNNNNNNNNNNNNNNNNNNNNNNNNNNNNNNNNNNNNNNNNNNNNNNNNNNNNNNNNNNNNNNNNNNNNNNNNNNNNNNNNNNNNNNNNNNNNNNNNNNNNNNNNNNNNNNNNNNNNNNNNNNNNNNNNNNNNNNNNNNNNNNNNNNNNNNNNNNNNNNNNNNNNNNNNNNNNNNNNNNNNNNNNNNNNNNNNNNNNNNNNNNNNNNNNNNNNNNNNNNNNNNNNNNNNNNNNNNNNNNNNNNNNNNNNNNNNNNNNNNNNNGAGGAGGUGAUCGAGGUGACGCGGUGUUAACCGUAAAUUUGGAAAAAGGAAACUAGGUAAUAGUAGGACAACAUUAAUGCCGCCACCUCGCCUUUGUUAGCCAUCACGGGUUGAAAUGCGUUCUUCUCAAGCCCCACCUUCUUUUAGUCAAGCAGCACCAACGACUCUUCUUUCUUCUAGCCAAACAUUACCAACGGUUCCACCUUCUCCUAGCCAAGCACUACAAACGGCUCCACCUUCUUCUAGUCAAGAACCACCAUUCCCUCCUACUGCCUUUCCCAUAAAAGAGUAUUCUUUAUCUUUCCAAUCCAUCCAUCUCAUGCAUGCACAUUGUAUUGCUCUGAUUAAUUCUUCAUCAUCAUAAAAUUUUUCCCAAAGUGACACAAUUAUUCAUAAAAUGUAACUCAAUUGAGGGCGAAGACCACAAUGAAUUGAACGUCAUCAAUCCUGCUAAGAUAGAUACCAUAGCUCAGCUUCUUCCUCCUAUAUUGGUAAAUUUGGUUAAAAGUGUUUUGGGUAUGUUGGAUUCUAUAGGAGGUUUAUUAAGGGUUUGGCCAAGAUUACACUCUGAAGGACUUGCUUGUUGAAAAAGGAUGUUCCUUUUCACUUUGAUGAUGCUUGCUUUCAGGCAUUUGAGCUCCUAAAGUCUAAACUCACCAAUGCUUCAAUCUUUGUUGCACCUAGUAGUUUGAUUUACCAUUUGACCUAAUGUUUGAUGCUAGUGAUUUUGCAGUUGGAACAGACCUUGGACAGAGAAUUCAUAACUGGUUUCGACCAUCUAUUAUGCAAGCAAAAUCUAAAUGAGGCUUAUAGGAAUUACACCAUUACAAAGGAGUUAUUGGUUGUGGUUUAUGCCUUUGAUAAAUUUAGAUCAUAUAUUGUGUUAUCUCAUGUGGUUGUGUUUACUGAUCAUGCAUCUACUAGGUAGCUCAUGAACAAACCGGAUGCCAAACCCAAACCUGAUCCAUUGGAUGCUUUUGCUUUAGGAGUUCGACAUUGCAAUAAUGGAAAAAAGGUUCAAAGAAUAUUAUUGUUGAUCACCUCUCUUGCUUAGAGGGCCCCACAGCUGGAUUCGAGACAUCUUUUCAAAUUUGGGAAACAUUUCUUAAAGAACACCUUCAUGCCAUCAUGAUCUCAGAAGGACCUUGGCUUGCUAACUUUGGCAACUGCCAUCUAGUGGAGAGAUUAGGAAUGACCUUUCUCGGCACAAGCGGAGGAAGUUUCUUGAAGACAUCGAGAAGUAUUAUUUGGUUGAUCCCUAUCUCUUUCGAAUUGACUAAGACAGCAUCAUUCACCACUGUGUCACCCUCAUCAAAGCUCAUGACAUAGUGACUCAUUCUCAUUCAGGACUGACCGAUGGACAUCAUGGCACAAAUCGAACAACUCAGAAAGUUCUCACUACUAGUUUCAUAUGGCCCACCAUGUUUCAAGAAUGUUAGGAUUUCAUCAGUGCAUGCGAUCAAUGCCAACGAGCAGCUAAACUCUCUAAACGUGAUAAAAUGUCUCAAACUAUAAAUGUGCAUGUAUAGAUUUUGAUAUAUAAGGGAUUGGCUUUUUGGGACCUUUCCCUACAUCUUAUAAGAAAAAAUACAUCCUAGUAGGUGUGGCGUACGUGUCAAAAUGGGCAUAAGCUCAAGCUCUCCCCACUAACGAUGCUAGAGUAUUUGGUAAAUUCUUACAUAAGCUAUUUUCUAGAUUCGACACACCUAGGGUGAUUAUAAUUGACCAAGGAAUUUAUUUUCGUGAUCAAUUUGAUAGGAUGGUGUAAAAUAUGGUGUAACCCAUCGUGUGGCCAUGGGUUACCACCCUCAGACGAGUGGUCAAGUCGAGGUGACAAAUAAGGAAUUAAAAUGGAUCUUGGAAAAGGCAAUCUCGUGCACUUAUUGGUCCAUUAGGCUGGAUGACGCCUUAUGGGCGUAUAGAACGGCUAUAAAACUCAUAUUGGCACUUCCCCUUACAUGUUGGUGUAUGGAAAAUAUUUUCAUUUGUAAGAUUCAAGAAGACCGUGGGAGGUGGUGGAUUAGACGGCAUAAGGCGGAGGCGAUGGCCUCAGCGUCUCGCCUCGGCACAGAGGCACGGAAUGCUCGAUAAGGCGGUAAGGCACUGCUUAGGCAAAUUUUGUUUUUAAAGAAACCUAAAAGCAGUCCUCUCCUUCUCUACCUUCGAUAAUUCUAUUUCCCUGCUGCAGGGCUCGCUCCUCUCUCUUCUUUUCCGCCUUCACCUUCACCUCCUCUCUCUUCUUUUCUCCCGUCACCUUCGUCGUGGCUCGCUCCCAUCCUCUUCUCCUCACGUUGCCGCUGCAGAUCCUAUGGCUUAUCUUAUACCUCUAUGUUUUUAUCUUAUGUGUGUUUUCUUCUAUGUGAUAACUUGAACAUUAGUUGUCUUGAACUUUGUUAGUUACAAAACUACAACACUGUGAACUUUUCAUUGUUAUGUUUAAUUUUGCACAUUCCAUUUCAAAUUUAUUACUUUUUUUCAAAAAUGUCUAAUCAAGAUUAGGCAACGCCUAAUCGUCCAAGGCAUGAGGCAGGUCCUCACCACCUUACUACCGCCUUACGGCUUCCACAACCUUAGUUAUUUGCAUGUGGAACUCUCACAUCGUGCUUGGUGGUCUUUAAGAACACUUAAUCUUGAUCCUAGUGUAGCAUGAGAGGAUAGAAAAGGCAGGUACUAGAACUGGAGGAGUGACAAGAUGAAGCUUAUGAGAGCUAUAGGCUAUACAAGGAACACACAAGAUGGAUCCUUGAUUUAAAGUUGAGAGGUGUCCAAGAAUUCAAAGCUAGAGAUCAAGUGCUCCUUUAUAAGCCCCGCCUUCAUCUCUUUUCAAAUACUGGAUGUUAAGUAGUGUUCUGGGAUGUUGGUAUAUGAUAUAUGGGUUUUUAUGAAUGAUUGCAGGAUCUUAGAGAUGAGCACGAUGGAGAUUUUGGAGCAAAAGCAAAGGACACAUCAUGCCGUUUAAGAGCACACUGUUCCAUUUCUAAGACGUCAGGUUUCUUAAGGACAUGGCGAUGUUCUUCCUGAAGAUGGUCUCAGCCAAAAGAAGGUGAGAAAAAAACAGGACCAUGUUGUUUAAAAACAUUUUGUGCCCUUAAGUAGCACACCAUGCGAUUAAAUGACAUGUCAUGCCCUUCCUCCAGGUAAGUGAUUCUUUUCUUUUUCUUCUUCACUUUUCUAUUCUUCUCCUCCUCCUUCCUCCGUUGAAAUUCAUCAUCCUCUACCUCCAUAUAACCUAUUUUCAUCAUCUCUUCACACACAUAGCCAUUCUCCUCUGUUCGACCAAACAAAAACAACUACUCCUCUUUGAAACCCCACCCUAGGAUUCCGGUCGAACCACUGGUUCAACCAAAGAGUCCCACUUGGAUUUCAACCUAAACCAUAACUCAACUCUAAUCUACUAGCAAAGCAUUAAAACCAAACAAAAAUACAUUAUGAAAACUGACCAACUCGGAUCCCCGAUAACAAAAUACAACAAAUGAAAGGAGAUACAACUCCAGUCUGAAAUUAGAUCAAAAAUCGAUAUCAUCUGAUAUCAAACCCCAACCAGCUCUCUCUCUGCCAUUAGCUCCAUUACCUGUGAGUGAACACUGAUACACCAAGGAAAACAUACAUCAUAUGGGGUCAGUGAUAAAUACUGAGUGGCUAACUGUACUCGCGUAGAACUGAGACUGAACUGGGAGUCUACUAAAGCUGAAACUGAGGAUGAGGAUAGAACAAGAAAGUCAUCCUAGACACUACUAUAUUAAAGUGACCAUGUGGUCCCGAAGGCAUCAUCCUAUCAUCAGUCACCCAUAGCUAGUGGUAGAUAGCCCCAUGGUGGAUCAGACCAUGAAACCAUCUUAAAACAUGUGUGAGAAGCAUCUAUAGGCAUACUCUACACGUCAUUUUAUAGCCAUAGAACAUCCUGAGCGAUUGCAUAAUCCAUGGGUGGGUGAUCAACUCAUAUCAGGAGCUAAUAUAGUUAAAUCUGAAUCAUUUCCUAAUCAUGAACUGUGAAUCAUAAUUCAAGAGCCAUGAUCUUAUACUCGAAUAAUAUUCGUCGGUACAGUAGAACACAAGCUACUGUACGGUCCUAGAGCCUUGCUCUACCAUCAAAACAACAGUGCAUGUACAGUAGAACAAGAGCUACGGUACGGUCCCAGAGCCCUGAUCUGUAAUCACAACAACUGUAUAGAGGAUCACACUCUACUACACAGUCUAAGGAGCCAAGCCCCGAACACACAACAUCAGUAUAGUGGAUCGAACGCCAUUGUACCAUCCUGAGAAGCCUAAUUAUAGUUCUACACUUUAAAGAAUAGAAGUAAGCUAAACCCCCACCUGGUAUGAAGAGUUGAUACUUCUGAUUCUAAUCUGACAUGAUACCUCUCGCCGCGACGAGUCUGUAGCUUCUCACCGUGUGUCGGUUGGAGCUUAAACGAUCUAGUUAUACUCCAUUUACUUCUUUGCAAUAAUCUGAAACUCGCUAGUCGUCUAACUGCCUUUGUUACUCUAACUGAUCCAGAACUUUUAGUCAUUGACAAAAGAGACCCAAGUCCUUAACUGUAAACUAUCCAUAAAUUUAGAACUACGGGAGCAAGACUUAUGAAUAAUCAAUUACAAGCAACCACUUAUCUUUCUGACUUUGCAGUUUGGUCACUAAACUUUUCCAAUAUUGCAGGGAGAUCACUUAUCUUCUCCGGAUCCACUCCGACACCUCUCCUCUACCAAAAUGACCACCGCUUCCCUUCUCGUCAUCCGCCCGACUCUAGGAUCGAGGGAGGUUUCCGCCGCCAUCCUCCAUCUUCUUCUCCUCUGUUUCACGUGGAGGAGGUUGGAAAAAUAACCCUACACAACAGCCUCUCUAACUCUCUUGGUAACGGAGGCCCUUCACACCGUUGGGCCCAUCUAACGGCUCCAAUCGAUUACGUCAUCACAACUUCAGUUGGGCCCAUGGCCCACAACUGUAUUUCCUUCUCCAUAUAUAUUGCUGCCCACUUCCUUCCAGUUGAACCAAUCAAAGCUCUUCCUUACCAUUAGAUCCAUCAAACGGUCCAGAAUUCUCCAAGCUCGUAACUAAUAAUUAAAAGACUUACCUUUUCUUCCGAUGGACUUAGUCGACCCGAUAAUUAUCCCAAGCCUUACAAGCCUUUUUUACUCGGUCAACUGCUGAGUCAACGCCUUAAAUUAAUUAAAUUCAUUCUAUUUCCAACUCUCGACUUCUAUUUUUCGAGUAUGAUUUUAUUCAAACUGUAAUUUAAAUCGAACCGGAAUUCGAAUUGUCACAUCCUCUUUCUCCACCUUCGUCCUUACCCACAAUCAAUUUGAAGCAAGAAGAUGUCUGCAUUGAUCAGCAAAUUCGAGAUGAUCUUUUCCCUCUCAGUUUUUGUUAGUUUUAAGAUCGAAAACAAGGUACACUCACUCUCUAAUCUCUCUCUUAUACUUAUCCUUGCAUUCCCUUGCUUGAAUUCGAAUCAUACUAGAAGAUUUGUUGAAUUUAUGGAUUUUCUAAAAUUUAGCUUGGCUAUAUGGAAUUGAUACCUUAGUGAGAUGGUAUCUUGAAUUUGGUGAUGUUUUGACCUCAAUUUCACUUUGAAUUGUAAGAACUUUAAAUCGUUCUAGGAUUCAAGAACCCCAAUUUUGGAAGUUUUUUAUUUUGUGCAAUUGGCCUUGUCUAAGUGAAGUUGAUGAUUGCUAGGAUUGUAGAACAAUUUUAAACUGAAUUGCUUACCGUUUGCCAAAUCAAUGGAACCAAACGCCUCAUUUUGGUGAUCUCCAUCUCUCCUAUCAAGGAUUUUUUAAUUGGUUAGCUCUUGUAGAGUGACUUUUUUUAUGUAUGGUUUUCUUAAGAUGUGUUAAUGUUGAUGAGACGCUUAUCUUAUAUAUCAAGUUCUUAAAUUUUCUUAGUUUUUCAUUCUCCCAUAUAUUAUGCAAAUUAAGUUCUCAUUUGAGUUUGCUUGAGCAUUUUUUCUUGGUUUGGGGUUGGUAACAUAAUGUUUAGAUUGUUGUCAUUGGUCUUGUUUCGCCAUUCCUUUGAUUAUCCUGCAUAGUCAUCUCUUUUAGUUAUAGUUUUGUUUCUUUGUUGCAAGAUGACUACUUGCAAAAGUAAGAGAAAUAACAGUGUGAUUCAAACACCCCUCUUUCAAGUUCUUGGUAUGCUAAACUCAGUUCGAGAAAAGUGUUUAACAUUCAUAGAGAAAAAGGAAAAGGAGGCUUGGGAGGAGAUUUCACAAAAGUUCAUCACUGCAUCUGGUUGAGUCAAUAGGGUGGAUUUUAAGAGAGCAGGGUUGGUGCCUUUGAUGUUGGAUGUCGUUCACGAUGGGGGGUUGGAACCCUUAUUUCAAGUGAAGGAGGAUACCCGAGAGUGGGCCACUAAGGAAGUCAUCACCACUAUUGAUUACACACCGACCCCAAGCUAGAAGAAAGCCGGUGCUGUCAAGUAUUAUUGUGGCGGGGUUGAGUAUUCUAGUUCAUCAGAUAAGCUUGGUGUCUUCCUCGGGUUCUACAUCACCGAUGACUUAGCCACUGAUCCACCAUUGGUUGUGUUCACUAGUUCUAUAACAUAUAGCCGGAGGAGUUUUCGCAUGAUAUAGCUCCAUCUAUUACUUUAAGGACUCUACAGAGUGGCCGACAGACUUACUACAACUCAGUAAGUCUUAGGCAGCUCUGAUCAAGUGACCAAUGCUUUGACUUCUGCAUCACUUCCUCUAGGCCACCUUCACCCAUCGAGGAAGCUUGAGUGGUGUCUAAAACUCUAAUGUCACUCCAUUUAUAGUGAUAAUCGCACCCACCUUGAAGCCGACGGUUUGAGUUGGAGGUCAAAGGAGGUUGGACAUGCAAGAUAUGAUCAAAACACGAUUUUGGGAGCGAUUCUGAAGCUAGAGUUCACACUCCGCGUGAGCCCUGCAGACAUCACUAAAAAGGCAAUUUUAAAAAGACAUGUGGCAUAAUCCUCAUAACAAUUUAUUGAUCUAGUUUCCUCUCUUCUCCACCCUCAUCCUAGAACCUUAGAAGAAAAAAUUUAAGAUUAAUUGGAGUUGCUGGAGCUUGGAGGGAUUGAUUGAAGCCUAUAGCAAAUAUCAAAGAGCAAAGAAGCAUUUGUCACCAAGUUCUCAACCUUAGAGCUCAAGGAUGGUGAUUGUAACCCCUUCGUCUCCACUUAGUUUCAUUAUAACAGGCUAGAACCUCUUGUCAUUAGAUUAGGGUUGAUGUUGAUGCACGGAUAAUCCCCUCAUGAUGAGGGGUUAAACAAGAAUUGGAUGAUUUUUGGUAUGUGAGUUGUUAUUUGAUAUGUGUUUGUCCAAUUAUUGGUUAUGGCUUUCAUUGGAUAAAUUUAAGGAGAUUGAUGCAUGCCCAUGCUUGAUUGACCUAGGGAAGUAUCGUUGAAUUAGAAUUGGCAGUAUAAGAGGACAGUUCAUACCCAAUUUAUCCAUCUUUAGUGGAGUUUGCAAUAUUGAGGAAUUUCAUCGAACACUUGGCGUGCAUGUCAAUCUUUGCUUAGUGGACCAAACUAGAUUGAGAUAGAGUGUUUGGGUGUUUAUAUGACCACAUUAGCAUCCUUCCUAGGUUUUUGGCGUGUCUCAUUGCCUUCUCUAUUAUCGUAUCAUUUCGAUUGAGCUUAAUUCAAUGCACAUUUAUCAUAUGAUAAACGCUUUUUACACGUCUCAAAAUAAACCUAAUUAUAAAAGUAACCAUGGUUGAAUAUAUGUAGCAUCUCUUUAUGUAUUCUACUAAAAGUUACAAAAGUGCUAAUUGGUUUAACCAAAUUGCAUGAUCUAGGUUCCAUAAUUUCUAAAACUACCAAUUAAAUUAGGGAGAAUAAUAAGAAAACAAGUGUUUUAACACUGCAGGUAUAUUGGUGGGGAAAUACUGACGGAUAAAACUGCUUAGAUUUUGAAUCCUCAUAGGCUAUCAAGACAAACAAGCGAUUAUCAAUUAACUCAGUUUAUGCAAUAGAAGUUGUAAUAUUGAGGAAUUUAAUCGAACACUUGGCGUGCAUGUCAAGUUUUGUUUAGUGGACCAAACUAGGUUGAGAUAGAGUGUAUGGGUGUUGAUGUGACCACAUUAGCAUCCUUCCUAGGUUUUUGGCGUGUCUCAUUGCCUCCUCUAUUAUCUUACCAUUCCAAUUAAGCUUAAUUGAAUGAGCUUUCAGCCUACGAUUUGUUUAUGACCGUAUCAAGUUGUAUGUGCUAUUGGUAGUGAGAUAUGUGUGACCAUGCACGUAGACUUAUAAGAACAGGAAUGCAUGAAAUAUUAUUUACAGAAAUAAUCCAAUCUUUCCUGUCCAAGAGUUUGAGCAUUGACUAAUCCUGAAGUCUAGCAACUAAUUCUCUCCAUAGUCUACUCUUGUCUCUUCUCUAUUUUUGGUUACUUAGUUGAUUCACAAUUGCCUUAUUUCUAGUAAUUGUAGUGGACUUAGCUAGUAACCAUUUUCAACUUUCUACUAUCUAAACUGUGGUUUGAAAGGUUGAGUAGGAAUCCCGAGAACAAUAACGACAGUUGCCUCACAAGGAAUUGAUUAACACCUUUUCUCUAGCGAUCAAUUUUUUGGCGCCGGUAACCUUUCUCACACCUAUGAAAGACCAAUUAGGACCACCGCUUUCGACAUUCACCCAUUCUAGUUUUGACUAUCCUUUGUUUUCUUGUUUUAUUCUCCGUUUGUUCUACUUUGGUGUGCUUGUCUUUGUUGUGUAAGUUUUCCUUGGUGCAUGAGACACUCAAACUGGCACCCUCCUCGAACACUUAUAGCUAAUCCUUCUCCCCCUAUACCUAUUGAAGAAGCUUCCAUUCCUACGCCAAGUGAACAUUCAACUGUUAACUUGAAUUCCAAAGCCGAAGGAGAAAUAUUGGAAUCAAGUUUGAAAAAGGAACCCAAAGCUUUUGUGAAUGUGUUUGGGAUGGCUCAACAACCACAAACUCGUCGAUAUUAUGCUAAGCCUACACUUGAUGGAACCAUAUCGAGUGUAAUGAGGCCUCCAAUCAACAACUGCAACGUUGAGCUCAAGUUCCAAAACAUCCAAAUGGUGCAGCAAAUUUUUUUAUGGAGGGCUCAAUAAGGAGUGUCCAAGCUGCUACUUUAAGCAUUUCUUAGAGAUCUUUGAUCUUAUGCGCUUCAACAACGUUCAUGAAGAAGCUAUUCAACUCCGACUCUUCUCAUUUUCUAUCCAAGGAAGGGAAAAGUAAUGGGUAGAGAACCAACCUUAAAACAUCAAUGGUACUUGGGACGAUCUAGAAAAGACAUUCUUAGAAGAGUUCUUCCCUCCUGACAAGACGCAUGAGCUAGGGGAAGAAUCUCCCACUUCCAACAACUCAACAGUAAGCCUUUCUAUGAAGCUUGGGAGCGGUUUAAAGCUUUUCUCUACUCAUGCCCUAGCCACAACUUCGAGGAGUGGAAACUAGCGGGGAGCUCAAGGAUUCACCUUUAAGGAUAAAAAGAUGGUCAACCAGGCAGAGAGAGGAUACUUGAGAUCAUUCCUUCCCUCACGGAACUUCAAAUCUUCCGAGAGAUGGCUCCACUAACAUUUGUGCUCCCAAAACUAUUAAGAAGAUGCCUAGACCUCAUGAGAAGGAUGAAAAGAAACUAAAUCACUUGAUCCUCUCAAGUAUGGAUGCUAUGGAUGCUCAAUUCAAGGCUCUCAUCUUAGCUCAACCAAUUGUCAAACCUCAAGAAUCACAACCUCCUCCUAGAAAAAGGAUCAAGCCUCCGGUUCCACAACUCUUUAUGUGCGAGAGUUGUCCAGGAGGUUAUCAAAAUAACCAACCUUGGACCAACAAUCAAGGUGCUAAUCAAAAUGAAUCCCAAAUUGAUACUCAAGGUCGAGGAUAUCGAAACUCGAAUCAAUGACAAGGCUCCAAUAAAGGUCAAGGUUAUAGGAGCUAUAAUCAAGGAAAAGCUUCAAAUCAAGGUCAGGGUAUAGAAACUAUAAUCAAGGUCAAUGAUAUUUAGAACCAAAGACAAAGCUACAAUCAAGGCCAAAUUAAUCAAGGUUUCAAUCAAAGCAAAUCAUGCUAAUCAAGAUAACUAUCUAAGGUACAACAACUAAAAUCAAGGUCAAGGUUAUAAUCAACGAGGCAAUCAAGUCAAUUUCAAUUCUCAAGGUUACAUUCAAGGCUCUAGUCAAGGCUUCAACCAUAAUUGGGGUAACCAAGGGAACAGAGGGAAUUUCCAAGCCUCAAAUGCUCCUCCACCCGUAUUCUCGAAUUUGUUUACUCAAAAUCAAGGUGUUGCAUCCUCAAGUGAUAACAUGAUGAUUGCUCAAAUGAUCGAAAGCGAAGAAAAGUUUUUACAAGAAUAAAACAAGGUGUCUCAAGAGCAAAGAGCCUAUCAAGACACUUUCAAUGCAACUACUCAAGCUCAAAUGGAGGACUUAAGGAAUCAAGCUGGCUACCUCACUCAAGCUCUUUCAAGUCGGCCACAAAGUACCCAGAAACCACCAAAGUCAAUCCAAGGAACAAGGAGACUUGUGGAGCUAUCACCACUAGGAGUAGAGACAUAUUUAGGAUACAACUUCCAAGGUACUUGAUCCUCCUAUUGAUAUUCCUAGCAAGCUUGUGAGUUAUAAUGAUGUGCUUGUGGAAGAUGUAGAUGAGCAUGAAGAUGACUGUAAUCAAGAGAAUUAUGUGAAUGUGAUGGUUGAAGAAGGUGCCCCCUUGCCACAAGCUCCUAAGAGCAAAGAGAAGUCUCAUGAGACCAACUCCAAUAAGGCUUUGACGAACUCAACCGUGACUCCUCCAACCUCAAUGCCCGCUUUAGCUCCUUACAAGCCAAAGGUGCCUUAUCCCAAUAGGUUGGAUAAGGAUAUCCUUAAAAAGAGCUUCAAAAAAUUUAUGCAUCAUCUCCAAAGCAUGCAAUUUAACAUUCCUUUCACCGAGGCAUAAAAAAAUCCGUCAAUAUGUAACUUCCUCAAGGAGAUCUUCACCAACAAGUGAAGACUCACGAAAGCUUCAAAAUAUCACACUCAGUGAGCAAUGCUCGGCUAUCCUCUAAAUGGUAUUUUGAAUCCCAUCUUUUUGUUUGGCUUCAAAGUGGCCGUCGAAAGAAGGAGUGAAAAGAGCUCCCCUAUUCUUGAGAGUGGCUCAAGAAAAUGACACCUUCCUAGCAAACUUAAGGAUCCUUGUUGUUUCUUUCUUCCUUGUAUGAUUGGCCAAGUUUGCAGUCAAAGUGGUUUAGUGGAUCUAGGUGCUAGCAUCAAUGUGAUGCCAUAUUCCUUGAUAAAAAAGUUAGGUCUUUAUGAACUUAAACCGACUAAGAUGUGCAUCUAGUCAGAGGAAAAAUCUACCAAGUUGCCUAUAUUGUGUAGUAUAUGAUGUUCUUGCUUGUGUUGAUAAGUUUGUGAUUUUGGUCGAGUUUGUUGUUAUUGACACCGGAGACACGAUAUAUCUUUGAUCGUGGAUCGACGCUUUCUCAACACUUCUAAGGCGAUCAUAGCCGUUUAUGAGCGCCAGCUAAUUUUAUGAGUGAGAAAACAUAAUUUACUUUUAACUUGACUCGUAGCAUUGAAAUACACGACAUCCCAAGAUAAUGAUGAGUUUGAUUAUUCUAAUGAAAUGGCUCUGACAUUAUCUAUCUUUAAUUUUCUUCAUCAAGAUGUCUUGGAUUCGUUCUUCAGUUAUUCUAUGAAAUAUAAUAGUGAGAAAAUAGAAGCUCUUUCGAUCGAGAGAGUGCAUGCUAUCAAUCUAGCACCGUUUAAUGAUUCUAAGACGAAGAUGUUUCAUGAAGAACCACUGGACCUUGAGCUCCAGGAGCCUUCUUCUUGCUCGGAAUAUGUUUACAUGGCUAAAGAUGGGAAGUCACCGAUGCAAAAGCUCGAGGAGCCACACUUCCAUGCGGAUGAAGGUUCAGAGUUUUGCAAGGAGAAGACCAAGCGAGUCCAUGAUGCGCACUUCCGCAUAGUAAAGGAAUUUAAGAGCCUAAUCAAGUUAUCAUCUCCCGCCUCGACUCAAAAUCAUCCUAGAAAGCUCCAUGUCAAGUUGGUCGACCCAUGCAUGCUAAAUAAAGUAUUUACUUUUAGGAUAAUCGGGGUAAUACCACCUACUCAACCCGAUUCCCUUCAACUUAAUGGCGUCCAUCUUGCAUUACCAAGUUGCUGACACCAUAGGUUUCAUUAUUGAGGGGAUGUGUGAGCCCUACUAAUGCUUUGCAAUGCAUAUCGUAGCUUAGGAGUAGGACUAAAAGAAUAAAAUUUGCAUGUUUGUUGUGUUUGUUGUGUUUAUCAUUUUGUGUGUAUUAUGUGGUUUUUUUUUGAUUGGUCAAAUAGAGAGAGAGAGAGAGAGAGUUUUCCGAAGGUUGCAUGCUUUACCGAUGACUAAGAAUGCAUGAUGUGAGGUCUCAUUUUAAAUUGGGGACCGACUGGUGUCCGAUCAAAGGUCAAAUGAUGCUUGCAUUGUUUGAUUUUCGUUGAAAAUAUGGGCUACUGGAGCAGUCACACGUGUGUCGUAGGCAUGUGUGGACUUCAUAUCCAUCUAACCGCAUGUGGCCUACUAGGUCUGCACACGUGGUGGCCGACUGAUAGAUCUAACAGCAUGUGGCUUUGCACGAGGCGUGUCGUUUUCUUAAUUAGUUACGGUGGAAAAUCGAGUCAACGACGUGUGAUCCCACGCGUCGUGUGACUGAUUGUUGACCGAAUCGAACCAAUUUUUUACCAAACUGAACCGACCAAAGAUCGUUAAGUGUAAGUCGUCUGUUGACCGUUAGUGGACCGUUGGCAAACCAAUGACCCAACCUGUUUGAACUGUAAUGAAUCGGGCUGAUUAACCAAACCGAGUUUCACCAGGUGUUGACCAUCGUUGACUGGUCGUUGAGCGGCAUUGACCACCCGUUGACCCGUCACCUUGGGCGAAAAGCGUUGAAGUUUAGUAUUUUCGGUGUAAAGUCUUGUUUGGGUAUCUGAUUUACUCAAGGUUAGCAGCAUUGGAAAGCUAGAUUUGAUUUCCUUCACCUUUCAUGUCAUGUUGUGGUCUAAAUCCGUGUAAUUUGUGCAUAGUAUACUCGGUUUAGAUGAUGGAAUUUGGGAAAGUUUGAAUACGUUCUUGUUUGGUUCGAUGAUCGGGUCAGGUCAUGAUCAAUUUCUUGAUGGUUUUGUGAAUAUAUGUUCAUUGCAAAUGCUAGCUUUUGGGAAGAUUGUUCAAAAUGGACAAUUCUAGGUUUGCAAUGUGAUUUUUAUGGGAUGUUAGACGUUGGUCAAAUGGUUACCCUUUUGAGGAUGCAAUUGAUAUCUAAGACUUGAAAUCGCGUCAUUUGUGGUUAAAUGUGUGCUUGUGCACCUAGGUUUUUGCUAGGUUAUUGUGAUGCUUUAUGUUGUUAUCUUUGCUCAUUUUCUUCUUUUGAACAUACUUUUGACAUACCAUUAAUCUUGUUGCUCACUCAUUUUGGUUAUUUGGUAAAAGAAACAUGAUGCCUUUUGAUGUCUGCUUGUUCUUUAAUGUUAUAUGAUUGAACUCUCUUAUUCUUAACUUCAAUUAAACAUAUAUUUACUACUUGAUGUUUUGCAUAUACUAUGUAUUCUCACUCUUAUUAAUUGGACUUGAUACAACUUUUGAUGAUCUCGUGGGAUUAUGCAUUGGCUUGAUUUGUGCUCUCUUGCUAUUUUGUUUGAGUAUUUUGUUUGAAGAUUAAUGUAUGAUUACUUUGUGACAAUUUAUGCUAAAUGAGUUAAGAUUGCUUCCAUAACUUUGGCUUACUUUGAAAUGCUCAUUUGUUAAUCAUAUCAUGCUUUUGUUUAGAAUUGCUAGUUAGUCUUUAUUGUGCAUAACUAGUCACUCCUUUUCAUUGAUCUUUGCUCAUCCUAUGCAUUUUGCCUCUUCCAUACCUACUAAUACACAUUCUUGAAUUGUUUUGCCUAGUAGAUGUGAUACUUGUUAAGACGGUUCCUUGGUGGCCUAUUUUUUUCUUUUCACUUGACUUGACCAUUUAUUUUUUUCUAUUUUUUUCUUUUUGGUCUACCAUGUGAUGUUUCCAGGUCUCUUCCUUUAUCUCUCCACCCCAAUUCCAAUUUCACACCGAUCGAUAUUCCUUAUCCCCUUAUUGUUUGCUCCUAUUGAGAAUAAUGUAAUGUUUAAGUGUGGGGUGGGGUGGGGUAUUAUUACUUUUUGGGGAUUUGUUGCUUCUCUAUCUUAUGGGUUUCGAUGUGCUUAUCUAGUGGCUUGUAACUCAUUUUUUGAAAAUUCUUACAUGAACUUGAAACUAUGGAUGUCAUUGGAUGCAUGUUCUAGUCAUCUCAUAGUGCUUGAGGGUGAAUAUGGUGUUUAGUUAACAUAAGACACAUAUGGUCGUUAUGGGUUGACACCUCUGCCUGUUUGAUGUGUAUAAUUGACUCUUUUUUUGGAAAUUGUCUAUAGGACUAUGAAGUUAAAAUGUAGGGGACGAAUCCAAAUGAGGUGCUAACAGAGGCCAUUGAGCCUAAAAAUGAUCGUGUAGAAGGUUGUGAUUAAAACACACAAGGCGGAUUUUAAUCUACCGCCCAUUUGCUUGCCAUAUCUGGCUCUCCUUCUUAACCCUUUGAGGCAUGGAUCAGUAUUAACUAGAACUGAACCUGAUCAGAAUCACAACCAUCCCAUUUGGAAAAAGUAGCCAUGCGAAAAGAAGAAAAAAGAAGAGGAAAAGCAAGUUUAAAAUCAAAUACAAUAGACAAGCAAAGCAGAAUAAAAGAAGAGGGGAUGCUAGUAUACUUGAUGAUAGGUUAUAUAUAUGGAAAAAGUAGCCAUGCGAAAAGAAGAAAAAUGGAGAGGAAAAGCAAGUGGAAAAUCAAAUACAAUAGACAAGCAAAUCAGAAUAAAAGAAGAGGGUGGUGCUAGUAUAAUUGAUGAUAGGUUAUAUGUGUGAUAAGGAAAGCAUUGCCUCCCUCAGAAUGAGAAAAUACCCGGUAAGGAUCAUCAAUUUAUCUGUUUCUUUUGCUAGUACCAUAAAACACAAGUGCAUUGGAGAAACCUUUAUACAUUAACUUAUUUAGGUGUCUAGUCAUAAACUUUAUAUGCUUAAGAUUGGUGUGUACUCUUCUAAAGGAUUCGAUGUCUUGUAUAUAAUUGUGUGGUUUGAUGGAUGAGGGAUACCUUUAGUACCUUGAGUAACUAGGCAUGUUGUUUCGAUCACCAUAUUUUGUUCCAUCUUUGUUUGAGCUAUAAAUUUGCUUAAGGACAAGCAAUGUUCAAGUGUAGGGUGGUUUUUUGUCACUCAAUAUUGUAGUGAUAAUCGCACCCGUCUUGACUACCGUUUAAUAUGAUGAGUUUUUGGUAUGUGAGUUGUUAUUUGAUAUGUGCUUGUCCAAUUGUUGGUUAUGGCUUUCAUUGGAUAAAUUUAAGGAGAUUGAUGCAUGCCCAUGCUUGAUUGACCUAGGGAAGUAUCGUUGAAUUAGAAUUGUCAGUAUAAGAGGACAGUUCAUACCCAAUUUAUCCAUCUUUAGUGGAGUUUGCAAUAUUGAGGAAUUUCAUCGAACACUUGGCGUGCAUGUCAAUUUUUGCUUAGUGGACCAAACUAGAUUGAGAUAGAGUGUUUGGCUGUUUAUAUGACCACAUUAGCAUCCUUCCUAGGUUUUUGGCGUGUCUCAUUGCCUUCUCUAUUGUCUUACCAUUCCGAUCGAGCCUAAUUAAAUGAGCUUUUAGCCUACGAUUUUUUGGUGACCGCAUUAAGUUAUAUGAGCUAUUGGUAGCGAGUUAUGUGUGAACAUUCACAUAGACUUAGAUGAAUAGGAAUGCAUGGAAGCUUAUUUACAUAAUACAUCCAAUUUGAAUCCAAUCUCUCUUGUCCAAGAUUUUGAGCAUCGACUAAUCCUGAAGUCUAGCAACUCCUUCUGUCUAUAAGGCUACUCUGUUUCUUCUCUAUUCUUGCUUACGUAGUUGAUUCUCAUUUGCCUUCUUGCUAGUGAUUGUAGUGAAGUUAGCUAGUAACCCUUUGAAACUUUCUACUGUCUAAAUCGUGGUUUGAAAGGUUGAGUAGGAGCUUGGUGAGAGAACCUGAUAGCACGAUUAUUGGUAGCCAUUUUGGCCCCACCUUGAAUAGUUCUUGCUCCGGUUUCGUUGAUAUUUGCUUGUUGGUAGCGUCCGUUUUUAUCACGAUUACAUUUUCGUGCAUGCUUCCUCUCAAAUGGACCAUCUCGAUCCGUUUCACUUGUUUCUUGGAGAGUUUUCCUUGAGUGCAGGUAUCCGUUGAAUAGAGGGUUCGACUAAGAAACUAAUGGUACAUUUUGGUGCAAAAUCAGAGUCCAAACGAAGAAGUUAUGGCCGAAAGAAGUCAGGAGUUUCUGCUGUUGAGAAGUCAUGGCCGUGACACAACCUGUGACGGUUGUGAUAGGUUGGGAGCUAGUAUACUAUCACGACCACCAUACCCAAUUUGGACAGACACCUUAUUUUAUACCCAGUUCGAAAUUUGUGGGAGUAGAGAGCCAUGGAGAUGAACUAAAACACAAAUUGACGAAGGGGGAAUUGCUUGGGAGCAUAGAGCACCAUGUGAAUGAAGAAUUGAAUCCAAAUAGCUAAGGAUUUGAAGUCUAAGGGAGGAUAAAAUUCCUACUUCGAUGGAUUGGUGGUUUGAAGCAUUCUCUACAUCACUGAUGGAGAGCUAGGUUUUCUUCUUGUUUGAGUUUUGUAGAUUCCUUUGGAUUUAUGGGAUUGUUCUAGUAUGUAGUGAUAGGAUUGUGGAUGCAUGAUGAUUGAUUAUAUUUUUUGAUAUCUUGCCACCCCUUUUAUCCAGAUUCCAUGUGAUUUGCACUUUUUCCAGUUUUCCUGUUUUAGGUUUUCAGCUGUACAGUUUCCCAUAGUCCUUGGGAUGAUCCAAAACCCAAACAAGGCCUUUUCCUCAUAGUCAUUCUCACAUUAGUCUUAUUUGUAAUUAGGAUUGUCAGGAAUCCGAUGUAUGGAUUCUCAGGAUGGUACAUUAGCGUGUGAUCUACUAUACCGAUGUUGUGUUCGGAACCGGGCUCCUUGGACUGUCCAGUCGCUUGUGAUCUACUGAUUAGGAUAAUAUAUUCUCAGGAUUGUACGGUUGUUGUGAUUACAGAGCCCGUGGCUAGCUAUUAAAACGGAAUUUCGGUCUGUCCGGCUAUUAAAACGAAUCAAAACUUUGGUUUUCGAACGGUACCUGAUCGGAUCUUCAAGUUAGUCGUUCAACUUCUAAAUUUUGAGUUUGAGAAUAUUUCAAUUAGUUGAAUAUUAAACUUCUUAUAUUAUUUUCAAAUUUAUAAAAUACAAUUCAAUAAUUCACUUUACAUAGGGCGUUUAAUUCGAAUUUUAAUACGAAGUUUAAAAUGGAGAAACAAAAAGAAGCAGAGUUUGAUAUCUUAUAUAUAUCGCGUCAAUCUGAAACUACCUCCCACCUCUUCCCCCUCUCUCUCUUUGAGAGAUCUGAAUCUUCCAUUUUUUGGUGAUAACUUAAUUUCUGAAUACAAUUACAAAUCCCAAAUUUCAACUUUUGGCUUUGUUAUCUCCUAAGUCCAGCUAACCGCUAUCGGACUCCCGACACUGCGUUUCCCAUUAGACCACUCCAACCGUGCGAAACUGUUGGUACUCAUCGGCAUGGAAUCCGCUGUAAACGUCACCGUGUAACUCUUCUUCUCGUUGACAUUCUUGAAACUUAGCGUUUUAGGCUCAACCUCAAUCUUAACCCCUGGGAUUUCCUUUGGUGAAACUGACACCCUGUACUCCAUUGCAGGCCCCACUUCUACGUUCGUCAGUGUCCGACUGUGUUUUAUCACAACCUUUCCUCCGGCGCUCAUAUCAGUUGUAUCCACAUUUACGGCGAACGAAGGGUAGUUGAGAUUGGCCACACUGUACUUCUUCUUCUGGUCGCAAGUAUAGUUCUUCCUCGCCACGCUUUUGAUCUGCAUAUCGGUGUAGUUCAGCGCGCACAAGAACCCUAAGUAAUCCUCCGCCAUCAGAUCGUACACCAGUCCCGGAUUAAGAGCUGCAACCGGAUUCACGUGUCCAGCUCCGUGAUCGAACGGCGUCGAGUCGUUCCCUGUGGCCACGUCUUGCAACUUCUGCCCGCUUUUAUAUGUUGAGUAAGCGGUGGUCAUCAGCGCUGAUCUGAUGGCGGCGGGACUCCACUCCGGAUGCGCCGCCUUGAGGAGGGCGGCAAGGCCGCUGACGUGUGGACAAGACAUGGAGGUGCCGGAGAUGACGUUGAACUCCACUCGUCGGGAAUCCGUUGCUAACCCUGUGGGACCGAUCUUACCCGUCCAACCAGCUAAGAUGUUGACACCUGGCGCUAUGAUAUCCGGUUUGAGAAUCUCCGGCGUGAUUGAGUUUGGACCUCUUGAGCUGAACGCCGCCACCACCGGUGAAGGCUCGAUCCCGAGCUUUGUCCCCUCGAAGAGUAUUGUUGCCUUGGGGCUUGGAUCUGAGGUCAAGUAUUUCUUGAUUGAGUCCCCUGUCCUCUGACCUACCGCCGUUGCCGGGAGCAAGUGAGCAUCGGCAACCAACUCCUCGCCGUUGGCUUCGGUGUUGCCCAAAACCAUUCCCAAUCCGCCGGCGGCUUUCACUGCUGCUCCUUUCUGGACUCUGGCAUUCACUCCCCUGUCACAGAGCACAAUUUUGCCCUUCACUUUCUCCGGAAUCAGAGUUCCCAUCAUACAAAGAUUCCCAUUGGUAGCGUUGCUAGCAUUACCGGCGUAAACGAACGGCAGAAGAUUGGCAGGCAAGGAGGCUCCCUUGAACAGGGAGACACCUGAAUAGUUCUGGCCGUUUCCCAAGCUAACAAAAGCAGGGAAAUCCCGAUCGACCGUUCCCGCUCCAACAGUAGUUAUCCAUGGAGCAACAUUAGACAAGCUGUAAGCAGUUGGGCCAGCAUUUCCAGCAGAGCAAGAGACCAAGAUCCCCUUCUCCAUAGCCGAGAAAGCUCCAAUGGCAACACUGUCUCUGUAAUAGUCGGAGUUCCCUCCACCGAGUGACAUUGACAUGACAUUGACACCGUCCUCAAUCGCCUUAUCCAUGGCUGCAAGAAUAUCAGAGCUGAAACAGCCUCCAACCCAACACACUUUAUAAACAGCAACCCGUGCUCUGUUCGCCAUUCCACGAGCAGUACCAGAUGCGUAGCCGAGAAGGCUGGCUCCGUCGACGGCGGAUCCGGCGGCGGUGGAAGAGGUGUGAGUGCCGUGACCGUCAUCGUCCCUAGGAGAUCUGGACUCUUUGGAUUCGUCGACAGGGCCCAAAGUUGCUUCAUAACCCUUGGCGAAGAAUCUGGCACCAAUUAACUUGCGAUUGCAAUUAGAUCUACUGAAAUUGGUACCGAUCUCACACUCACCGUUCCAUGUACCGGGAAGUGGCCCGAAACCGGUGUCGUCGAAGCUCUUGCUCUCGGGCCAGACGCCGGUGUCGAGAACUCCAACGACGACUUCGCCAAGGAUGUCAGCCUGGGGGAACAACUGGGAAGCAAGGUCGAGGCCGAGGAACUGAGGAGUGUGAGUGGUGUGGAGUUGAUAGACGGUCUCAGGGAUGACGGAGAGGAUACCGGGGUGAGACUGGAGCAACUUGGCUUGAGAGGAGGUCUAGCGAGUGGAGUAGCCGUGGAUGGCGUGGUUGUAAGUGUAGAGGAUGUGGGCGGAGGUGGAGACGGAUUGGAGGGAGGAUUGGUACCAGUUGGUGUGGAGGGAGAAAGUCUCCGGCAUCUGGGAUUUGGCCAUGUGAACUAUGUAGGUUCUCAUCUGCUGCUGCUGCUGCUGCUGCUGCUGCUUGGAAGCGUGGGAGAUACCCAGAAGAAGUAGGAGAAAAAAAAGAAUGGAGGCUGAACCACCCUGUUUCAUCGUCUCCAUAUUGAAAGGGGAUUGGGGGAAUAUCGAAAGCUGAGAGCUUGGAAGGGAGAGGGUAGGGGGGUUGCUAUUAUAAAGGAGGAAGUAGCAGAGAGAUAGAGAGAGAGAGAGAGAUAGGAGACGACGGUGGAUGGUUGUCUGGUAGUGGUGAAUGAUUAGGAAGGAAGGAAGGAAGAGAAAGAGUGAGCUGGGAGUGGCGGGUUCAGCUUUGGAGUCACGUGCGUGGUCUAAGAUAUUUAGCUAAUAAACCAAUUUUCUUUUUCAAGAUCGAUCCUCAGCACUCAGCAGUCAACAGUCGGCAGAGCAGAGAGCAGAUUCUCUCCUCUGUAAAAUUGGUUUCGCAGGCUCACUGAAUUGAGGAAAGAAGAGGGGGUUUGUAAGUGCAGCCAACGUUGGCUGCAAGUGCAAAUGGCUUUGGUCGUGGUGGGGAUAAUUACAUUUCAGAAUAAGUACGGUGGUCACGGGUGCAAAGUGUCUCUCCUUUAUUUCUUGCUAGUUUUAUUGGUUUAACGUUUUCUUGAAUGAAAGUGGUGGGUGACCCAAAGAUGUGGAGGUUUACCGACCAACCAACCUCCCUUGUUUCUUUUUCUUUCUUUCUUAUCUUCUUCAACAACGGGUGGGUUACUACAACUUACAAAAACAAAAACCUACAAACUGUUUCUUUCUUUCACUUCGGCCCAACCCAACCCAACCCAAAGAUGAGAAACCUGCUGGUUGGACUUGGAUGCAUGCCAACAAAAUUGGCAAAUCGGGUACACCCAACCCAAUUGCUGCCACAAAUCUCUUCCUUUUUAACAUUAACUGGACCGACCACCUUCAUAAUACCAUAACAAAACAUUAGGUUGUUACAUUGAUUUUGAUCUUUUUAUUAAUCAAAGCGUCACAACUUUGCCUUGUUAGCUUAAUAAAUUUUUAAUACAUAUUUCACCAUUCAAACUAGAUGGGUAUGUAGUGUAUUAAUCAUCAUAUACGUGCCAGCCAUACAAUUACAAGAGGUCAACAUAACAUACCAAUUACCUAUAUUGUUUUUUCCACUAACAAUAUAUAUACAAGUAUUUAGAUAUGCAUAAUCAAAACAUAAUAAUUAACUGGUUUAGUAGGGAAAACCCUUACAGUUUAUAAUCUAAUCCAUCCGGACAUGAAAGCCAACUCUUUUGCUGGAACCCUUACCAUUGUACAGGGAGUUCAAACUAGUCCAAUUGGCAUUCCUUGCUCCACUCCUAAAGGUCAAGGAUAUCGAAUCUGGUGUGUGUAUAUAUAUAUAUAUAUAUAUAUAUAUGGAAAUGAGUAUCGUACUUCAAGUGGAGUAUUACAUACUCCCGCGUGCAUGGAAUCAUCUUAUUGAUUUAAAAAAAAACAAAUAUCAAAUAUUUCAAUUUUUUUAUAAUAUCCCACAAUGAGUUUUUAUAUUCUAAAAAUAUUGCACCAUAUAUUUUUUGUCCAAACUAUAAAUAAACAUUUUUCUCAAUAUAUAUACCAUUAAUCAGUUAUUUAAUAAUUCAUUUUUUAUUUGAUUGUAAAAUUUAUUCUAAAUAUAAACAUCGUAAAAAAAUACACUCCCAACACAUGAAUUUAAUUUAUGAGUAAAACUAAUCAAGUAAUUGAAUGGAUGAUGAUAUCCUAAACUCGUCCCCGUAUUUAUACAUCACCAUCCUUAAAAAGAGAAAAGUAGUAUUAUUAGUAGACAAAGAGUGGACCACUGUGUUAAUGAAGACAAAUAGAAGAUAGGAGGACUGAAUUGAUGAGGAUAUUAUAUAUACGUACACUAACAUGGGUAAGCAAUGAGAUUGAGAAGCGUACGUACAUCUAAUCUUGCGGAUUAUGCGGUGAGUGAGAUUGAAUCAAAACUAGGAUGAUAUAGCCUAUAUGAUUAAUAAUUAAUUAUGUAAUCAAUCAUUAUAGUAUGAAAUUGGGAAGGAGAAGAAGACUUGUUGUCUGUCUGUCCAGUAGAGAGCAUUGGACAGGAAAAUGAUUGGCCAUCUGCUGCUAACAUGUAUCCAUGUGUGAUUAUUCUUAAGUUAAUUUAACUCUCCUUUUCAUCUCUUUCCAGCAAUCGUACACGUGAUGCCCUCCACGCACCGUUUGGUUUUACCGACGGGAGCGACACCGUUUUCUUUUCCGUUCGAGCGGAAUAUAAGUCAAUAUUGUUAGGCUGAGAAGGUGCUUCAACUUUUGCACUAUAGUUUCUACUGUUAUGUUGGUUGAGGUUUAUUACAUUUCCUCUUGUUGUGUUGUGACCUCUUAUUUAUGGCACACACUAUAAGUAAUGAUUCUACUGUACCCUUCAUGGUAGUUUUAUCACUUUUCGAUAUCACGUUUAAUUGUAAACUUUUAUUCCUUCGGAGCUGCAAACAAACAAACAAACGAACAACAAUUACAUCAUAGAAAGUUACCAAGGAAGCUAAAAAAUGCAAACGAAUUAAACAAAAUGAUUUUGAUUAUUGUAAACAGGCGCGUCAGUCAUCGUAUCUAUAAGUAUGACAGUCAUAAUUAUAUCGCCCAAGAAUCUUUCUGAAAUAAGAACCAUCAUUUUCAGUUUUUCUCAAGAAUACAGUUAGAUGCUUACCCAAAACUCCAAUAUUGAUUGUGCUUCUGUAAUUAGUCUCAACAGGGGAAGCGGCAUAGUGUAUUUUGGCUAGAGGUAGUCCCUAACAAAAGCUCUCCGAUGUGAGGGGAAAACCCAACUCUCCAGCGAGAGAAAAACAUUGAACUUUGAAAACAAAAAUGUCGAUGAAAUGUUGAAACUGCAAAACUGUCGCGCUAGACGAUGCAGAAGAGAAUAAUUCACUCCCCAUUUGGUCAUAAUCAUCAUAGUCGCACUAGGGUUUUCUCCCCCACCUCACAUCACCGCUAGACUUCAUGUUUUCUUGUCUUUUUCUCACGGGCAACGGACAACGGUAAAGGGAAACACGUCACAAGUAUAGACAGCGAAAGCGAUAGACUUCUAGUUAAUGGAUGAAACAUUCAAUCUUUAUUUAAAUCACUACCGGGCUAGACCGCUAAGAAUUCCGAGCCUGACGGCUACUCCGGCUGAUGGCCCUCGUCCAUUGGCAUGGAAUGAGCUUUUGUGGCGAUUUCGGUGUUGCACCAGUGGAGGCGCCGGUUGCUAGGGUUGUCUCGGUCGCCGGUAGCAUCGUUGAUGGAGUUUGUCGCCCAACCCCUAAGCCCAGGGUUGGAUAGGCGGGUCUCAUAUGAUCCGCCUUGAGUUAGCAGCCGAGAUCAGGUGAGAGGGAUGAUGGGGCGGUCGUAUCAGAUGUCGCAUGAAGAGAAAGAUUAUGAUUAUGAAUGCGUUGUGGCGGCUAUAGUUAGGUUUGGAUCUCUCCAAGAGAGUGCAACUUUCCCUCCGAGAGAGAGCAACCAGGCAACACUGCAACAAGAAUCCAAGAUGAUACCGAGAAGAUAGCUAGAGAUAGAUGCGACAGCUAGGGUUUGACUCUCAUUGAGAGCUAUUUUCCUCUUAGUUGAUGAAGUCAUGUUUGGCCGCGUUUGAUCACAUUAAUGAAAUUAACCCAACAAGAAAAAACUUUUAAUUCUCAAAAUGCAAGUCAAGGGGCAAAUGGUGAGUUUUUCGAGGUGGAAGUUGACUUGGAAAAAAUUAUUGAUUGUUUUCAUCCGCGUCGCGCACCUCGUCAAAAGAAAUAACAAGUGAUGACUCUAGAUAUGAAAUAAUACUUGAAUGAUAUUUGAUAGACAUAAUUUAAUUCGGUGGUUACUAUGACUUUAAAUUAAAAUUUAAUUGUAUAAUUAGUCUUAAUUUGCAAUGCCAACUCGGCCGAUUAAUUUGCAGCAUCAACUUUCACCACUCUAGACAAGUUAGGUACUCAAAUCCAAUAUUUGCUCGGUCAAUUUUAAUAUUCUAUUGUAGUGCAAAUUAAAUUUGAUGGGCCACGAUAAUUGCAUUUCUUUCUGAAUUAUGAGGGGGAUGUUUGAGAAAAAUAGGCAACAGAUUCAUAUUCAAUCAAGUUAGCAUUUUUCAAUAUCACAUUCUUGUUUUUUUUACUUUACAAUCUUUUGUCCCGCUACUACUCUUCUCAUUUUGUUAUCCACCUAUUGUUGAUUGUUUAUUCAUCAUCAACCAUCCUCGCUCGUAAGGUCGAGCAUAUUUAUCGAGAAGGUAACUGAAUUAUUAAUUACUUAACUAACUUUGAUCAUAAUUUAUCACUUAAUGUAUAUCAUAUUUCUAUUAAUGAUCUUACCCUAUUUUGUAUUUGUUGUAGGCUUUAUGUGAAGUUUUCCAACCUCAUAUAAUUUUGAAUAAAAUGUAAGUACUAAUACAUAUGGACUUAAAAAAAAACUAUCCCCACUUCUAGGAAAAAAUUUUAGACACGAUAAAAUCAAAAAUAUUACAUUUUCAUUGGACGGUCGAAGGGGUACCAUUUUCGACUAUAACUACAAAUAUUAGUAUAUAUACCAAGCUUACCACGUUGUUAUAGAUAGCUUAAGCAGAAUAAAACUUUAAAUAUGAGCAAUUCUAUCUAUACCAAUUCUAUGUGAUUUACUCUCCAUCCCGAUAUACAACUUGGGAGACAAUGAUAUUAAAUUUCACCGUUAACCAACCGUACUCAAAUCCAAUCUGUGAGAACCUUCCUGGGCAGAAGUGCCUAGCCCCGCUUAGAAUCUCUCACUCUAAGUGUUACCUUCAACUUCGGAGAAAACUCGUAUGACAAUUCGGUACGUUGAUUCCUUAAUACUUCCUAUCCAAGCUAUUGAGCUACCUUGUGCACAUCAUACCAUUACAGGUCUUUCAGAAUUUUGAGAAUGAGCAAGAGAAUUGUUUUUAGAAAACUUAGGUUGCUCUAGCAAAAGCUUCCUCUAUUUCUAGCCAAUCCUUCCUUCAUCAAUGCAUUGAUCAUGCAUCAUUUCUUUCUAUUUGUGCUUCAUGUCAAUCCUAAUCUUCAUGCUUGAUGAAUGCUUGAUUGUCUCCUUGGAUUACUUUAUGGAAAGAUGACUAUGUUCAUUCUCUUCAUUAGCCUUCACCUUCCAUAUGAUCUUCCUUGAUUUGUAAUGUUGUCAUCAUCAUCUCGUUGAUAGAAUAAUCACUUGAUUUGCUUCAAUUGAUCAUCUCUUGAUUAACUCCACAAUCAUCUCUUCAUUUAUGCAAUAUCUUGAUUUGCUUUAUGAUCAUCUUUUUAUAGCUCCAUGAUCAUCUCUUUCAUUAUGCUUGAUUUUCUCCAUGAUCGUUUAUUAAUUGUGUUUGAUUUGUACUUUGACGAUCUUCAAAGUCCAACGAAGAUUGUGUGUAAAUGGAUUGUUAGGUAAUUGGAUUUUUUUUAAAUCUAGCCAUGAAAACACGUAUCUUUCAUUUAUAAUCAAACAAGGCUGGGAAAUCUCAAGCAACUCAUACAAAUUAUGUAGAAAUAUAGUCGGAUCACUAGUAGAAAUAGAAUGAACACUAAUAGGUAAAUUAUGAUAUCAGCUCGCCCAGUUGCCUUACUGAUAAAUAUGCUCCACCUUGAUUGUCCUGUCCAAAUCCAAUAGCUGGACAACCUCAGAAGAGUGAUGGUGUGUGCUGUCACCUUCCACCAGAAAAGCCCAAUCGAUGCAAGCGAGUCUAGUUGUAUCCGUAACUAUCGGUACUCAAACUCCCAAUCCAUCUACAACCCAUGCAUAAUAGCUCUCAACACGGCCUAUGAUAUAAUACGUCGUGCAAGGACAUAGGGAGUGGUGCGAGUAUCGCUAAAAUUGCUUCAUUUUUGGUGUUCCAAAGAGAUCACAAUUCCAAAACCAUGGCAAGUGCUCUUCGCCUUCAAGUGAUGUGUGACCCAGGGCAAAAGUGAGGAAUCCUAGUUCGUUUGAUCUUUAAAAAGAUAGGGAAGUUGAUCCCAGGUGGCAACCAUAAAGGGAUAGUCCCGCAACACAUACAUGAAAAGGGACAGUUCCGCAACACAUGCAUGACUGUUUCUAGUGAGGCGGUGCACUGCAAGCGGACACCGUCCUACACAAAGUGACAAUGUCUGUGACACCCCGAUUUCGGGUUAGCUAUUGGUUCAAUUUUUUUGGUCAAACAAGGAGAGUAUUGGUUAGUAAAUGGACCACCACGGGCGUGCCCGGUAGUCAGUCACGGACAUGAUGACCAGACCGGUCAUGGUCGUGGUCAGCAGGCAACCACGAACGUUACAUUCAGUCGGCCACAGGCGUGACCUUUUAUAUGUCAUAGGCAUGGGGACCAGGCAACCACGUGUGUGGUUGUAUGUCAGCCACGAGUGUGGUUGACUUAUUAUAUAAUCAGAAUCGUGAUGAGUAACUCAGGAAAAAUGCAUAAAAACACAGAGACUCGUCAGGGACUUCUGCCGAGAGAUGAAGGAGAUCAAUCACAAAGAGAAAUCAGAGUGGAACUAUCCAGAAUCAGAGAUAGAGGGUUAGAGAGGCUAGGAGUUUCAUGGGAAGGUAAUCAAUCCUCCUUGUCUCUCUAAAUCCUGUAGUUUGAAAUCAACAUGAGAAAGCUGACAGUCAUCUUGUUUGGGAGAUUCAAUCCUGAAUUGGUCUCUUCAGAUGUAACAGGAUAGGGGGACUGAAUCUCUGGAUGGUUUCUUCGGAUUAAACUCUUCUGGGGAAGCUUAUCUUAGGUGGGGGUCUAGGAUUACUGUAUGCUUUAAAGCGUAGAACUGUAAUUAGGGCAUGAUGCCUCUACUUGUGAAUCUUUUGCUCCCAACUUUGCACCAGAAAAGAACUUCAUUGAAGAAGUAGACUAUGUGCAAGGUAGCUAUCAAAGAGGCAACCAAAGCGGAUAUCGAGGCUCUAACUAAGGGCAAGGUAUGAAUCAAAGUGGAUAUUGCAACUACCAACAAGGGCAAGGCCCCAAUCAAGGAGAAUAUCACACCAACAACUUCAACCGAGGACAAAGGUCUGAAGGAUACAACCAAGGCUAAGGGAAUCAAGGCUACACUCAAUGUUAUAACCAAGGACAAUGUAAUCAAGAUAACAAUUAAGCGUUAUAACCAAGGGUAAAAUCAAGGGCAAGCAAGCCAAUGCCAAAACCAAGGCCAAAAUUACUACAAAGGGAACAAUCAAAGGUUCAACAAUUUCAACCAAGGAAGAGGUUACAACUAAGGUGAUUACAACCAAUAAGGUUCUAAUCAAGGUUCUAAUAAAAAAUUGAGAAAUCAAGGAAGCCAAGGGGACUUUGAAGGUUCGAAUGCACCCCUUCCCGUAUUUUGCGCAUCCUCUUAAUCAACCUCAACUUGGUGCAUCCCCAAGUGAACUUGCAACUAUCUAAAGUGAAAGUGACGGUGAAAGAUGAUGAAGAGGAAGCGCUCUUUAGCAAGAGAACUGGUGUUGGACACUAGAGGCGUACGAGACAAGUAGCCGAUAAUGAGUAAGAGAAAAUUUGACGAAGGAGACAUAAGAGUAGAUCGGGUCAAGAAGGAGCCGAUAAGAGCUCAGACUAUGAUAGAGAUAAAGCAGACUGAGGACAAAACAAUGUGUGUUUUGUUUGCGAAAAGAAAUGUGAAUAUGCUCGAGACUACUGGCAUAGAAAGACAAUUGAAGUAAAUUGUGCUACCUCAAAGGUUGUUCAUUAAGGAUACCUAAGCAAAGAAGAAUGGAAUUUUGAAGCUAUUACAGCCGCUGUAGAAGUAAUCAAAGUAAAAUUGAGUAAUGAAGAAUGUAACAGUGAUGAAGAAUGAGAGUUAGAGGUAAUGGUCGCUUCAAUUCAGAUAUUUGAAGAAGAAAGCAAUUGGAAAAUUGACGAUUUCCUAAUCCUAUCAGAAAUCCUUGAUGAAGUUCAAAGUGGAGGAGGCAAGCAUGACACAGUGCUAACUGAGACAAUAAAAGAUUUAUCUGGGAUGUUCGGCGUCCAAAAGGACAAGCUCAAGAAAGUAAAAGUUGAAAACGUUCUACAAUGGGAUUGGGAGAAGAGAGUCAAGCCGACGCGAAUAUGGGGAGCAUCCUAAAGUCUUUACGAAAGAGGUGGCUAAAGAAAAGGUAUAAAAAGAUUUAAAUGAAGAUCAUUUAGAACUGCGAGGAACAUUUAAGAAGAAAGAGGUAAAUCUAAAAUCGAUGACUUUAUCAUUGAAUUAGAAAUUAUCAUCUGGUACAUGUGAAAGCAGUAAUGCUAUGGAGAUACAUAACAACCUGAGGAGGAAAACAAGCGAUUGAAACAAAUCUAUGAGGACAAAAAAAGAAAACACUUCAAGUUCGGUUGGGCAACAACGAUGUAAAAAAAAGAAUUAUCGUUUUCGUACUAUUACGGAUCUGGUUAAAGAUCAAAUAUAUUUUGAGGGAGAGUAUUGAGAUAUCAAAAUAUAUUUGAUUCAAUAAUUGGAGAUAUUAAAGAAUAAAAUAUUAAUUAUUGUGUGUAGAUAUUUAAGAAGACAUGUAUGAAGAAAUUGAGAGAUGAAAGUGAGAAGAAGGAGGUAUAGAAAUGAGAAGAAUUAAACAAUGGUGAUAUUUUGUUUGUAUGUCGGUUAUGGAGAGUUAUAAAUAGAUGGGCAAUAUUGAAGUGCAGCAAAAAGAGGAGAAAGAGUGCAGAAAUAGAAACAGUUAAAGUGGGGUGUGAGUUUGCAAUAUUAAAGAGUUGACUGACUAAUUUAUAAGUGUAAGAUAUUGUAAUAUAAGUUAUCUAAGUUAUAAAAGAGUACAAUUUAGUCCAAAACUCAACAAAUGUUCUAUUUGAUUCUCUAUUUUUGUUGUUCGUUUGUGGUGAUUAUUAAAAUUAGGGUACUGUAAAAUAGAGUUCUUGCCAAGUCACUAUUCGCAAGCACUGAAGCAGCAGUAGUCCGUCCCAAAGCCUCCCUAUUCGGGGUUGGAAUUUCAUCUCGAUCUCGCUUAAACUUUCGAACUUUGAUGUAUUUAUUUAUGCUUCAUCAUCUUUGAAUGAUUGCAUUGAAAUGUCAUUAAUAGCAUUUGUAUUUCAGAGAGCUAUUGAAAUUGGAGCCAUCGCCUGAAGAGAGGCGGAACUAAUGGAAAAAGAAAAUGGACUGGUGGAGUUGGUUCUUGGUAACCAUUCUUCUCAAAACGAAGAAAAUCCACAACUUCAUAGGCCUGAAUUGCUCCAUGAACACCUCUGGUUACUAUUUUAACAUCUUUCAACUGACCUCGCCAAUUACGAUGACGUUUCGUGUUCGUCAAUUUCAAAAAGUUGAGAACCAACAUCUCAUAACAAUCUCAAUCAUCUUGAAUAAUUGUCAAAUACUUUGGACGUAAAGCCCAAAAGAGACCUCCCAGAAAAUUGUUAUAGUAAGUUUCCGAGAGUAUAUCGACCUGAAUGGUCAAGUGCUUGAUAUCCACCGGUGGCAUACUAUGAUCAUCAUCUUCAAAUUCAGACUUGAAAUAUAAAUAAUCAUUGGUUAUAAUGUUGAUGGUGGAGAACUGGGUCAGCCUCGUGAGCAAACUCUUCAAAGCAUCAACCCAAUGAUAUCUUACAUGCCUAGGGUUAUGGAUCUCAGAGUUAAAAUCGACCUCAUCUAACCUGACGACGAUGCUGAUUUGGCAUUUCUUUAUUUCAUCAAGACAGUAGAGAGCAUCACAUCUGAGGAAGAAUUUUACCAAACUUGGACAAUCAUCGAUCUUGAUCUCCUCCAAUCCACAAGGUCCCCGCAAUGUGAAUUCCCCGAGCUUAUGAUUUGAAAGCUCCAGCUUCGUCAUGUCCAUGCAGAGGUGAUUAACCGUUCACAAUUUCAGAGAUUGGAGCUUGGAAAUCACAAGCUCAAAACGGCGCUCGCUCAUGUAACAAUCUGAGAUUUCCAAGAGACAGAUUGUGGAAAUUUUCAAGACGCAAAUUUUGUAGUGAAACUCAAUCAAACAAUAUCGAUCUCGACAAAAAUCAAUCAAGUAACAAGAAUGAAAAACCAAGAAAUGAAAUCGAAAGCUGCUGCUAUCGAUUCUUCUUCCGUGUGUGAACUUAGAGGAAGUGGAUAAGAGUCGAUGUUCUUAUAAUUCAGUUGAGCCUGAUUUAAACUAAAGCCUAAUGCUAUAGUUUAUAUUAAAUUCAUAUUAUAUCCCAACCAACUUAUGUAUUAGUUCUACGAAAAGUAAAUACGAGAAUAUCGACGAGAACUAUGAACACCGUGUUUUACGUGGAUCGGAAAUUUAAUCUAUUCCACAACUGAGGCAUUAUUACCUCAGGAGUUAUAUUAUGAUAACAAAUAAAAUAACGUACCUUUGCACACUCACAAAGUGACAGAACCUUCGGACGCUAUUAAAGUGACAAAACUUUUGACAAACGAAGUGACACGAGCUAGCAACCUAGAGAAAUACAGGCUGAGAUUCAAAUUGACACCCCGUCAAUCCUACCGAUUUAGUCACCGAGUCACUCACUCUCUAUUCUCUAUCUCACUAUCUCAACCUAUCAAAUUUCACACAAAAAAAAUAGUGACAAUCGAACAAUUCUUAAACAAUCAAAGAGAGCAGUUUUCGUUGUUACUGAAUUGGCGAAGAGCUUUGAUGUCUCGAUUUCCAACAUGCUUCGAACCACGUCCAACAAUACGGAGGGUCUUGAGGUUGGUAUGAUGAGUAGAAACUUUGAGCUCCUUCAUUUCAUAAAAUAAUUCAAUUUCUAGGGUUUCCAGUCUUGCUUUACCGUUUCAAGUCUUCAUUUCCAACAUUCUCCCCCUGAGCUUGACAACGGAAUUCCAUCAUGAUCAAAACACCCUUCCUCGAGUUGCCAAACUCAUAGUGAGGUAUAUGAGGCCAUACAAUUCAAAUUUAGACUUCAACCAUCAUUCACGUAUCACAACAAAUGAGUCAGGACCUAUGGUCCUUAUGCACUACCUUUUACUAAGUCUAGCUAUCAUUAACACACAUUAUCAAUGCAGGAGAAACAUGAUGGUAAUAAUCUUUGAUUUGAAAGCUAAAUGUAGCACUUAUCUCAGCAGUUAUGGACGAGUAACAGAACAAGGGGAGGUCUUAUUCAAUAGUUCAAAACCGACAGACACAAAUACCAAAACAUAUGUGCUUUAAGCACUUAUUUCAGACAAUAAGAAGACUCGAUCAUCUGACCUGUAGGUCAGAGACUUCUAACUUAAUUGAUUAACCAAACUUGGCUGACUCAACCCUAACUUAUCAUGAUCUAACUCCCCCUGAGUUUGUGCUUACAUGCAUUCAGAAACCUUCUCUUUCCCUUCCUUGAUGUUCCAACAUCAGUGUUCCUCGUAUAUAAUCCUUUGAGAGAGUUGGCCCAACGGCUGAGUUCAGGGUCUACAAAGACGUACUUCUCAAUAUCAAUGAUCUUUGAUGCCAAUUCCAUAUCAGCGAUCAGAUCAGAUGAUGGAGGUGUAAACGUCUUGGUUCUACCGCCCGUUGAUGGUCAUGUAUCUCUGUGAAUUAGGUCCCUCUUUCUUUCUCGGAUCCAAAUAACUUUAUAUGCGUUGUUUAGAGAUGAAUAUCCUAUAAAUAUUCCUUUAUCUAUCUUAGACAUCAAACUUAUCAAACUUAUCAAACUUUCCACGUUGAUCUUUAAUAUUUAGUAUGAAGCAACGACAUCUAAAAGGAUGAAAAUAUGCCAGGGUUGGUUUCCUUUAUUUUCAAAUCUUAUAGGAAGUUUUAUUCAAAUGUUCUCUUAUAAGGUUUAUGUUAAGGAUAUAACAGACAGUGGCACCCACUUUUACCUAUAGAUUCGUAGGAACAAGAUAAUCUUGUAGCACGGUUCGUGCUAGUUCAAUUAAGGCAAGAUUCUUUCUCUCAGCUACGCCAUUUUGUUGGGGAGUUUUAGGUGCUAAAAACGUGUGCUGAAACCCUAAAUCCUAAAUCUUAAACUCUAAAUCCUAAAUCCUAAAUCCUAAACCCUAAAUUCAAAUUUUACCAGGUUUUUCUCAUUCGAGCUUGAGAGCAAAAGCCUCAUAUUUGUGGUUAAGGAAUUCAACCCAUGUGUACCAAGAGUAAUCAUCUACCAGGAUGUACACAUAGCUUUUUCCUCCUAGACUCUAUGUACUGUCUGGACCGACCAAAUCCAUUUGAAUGAGGGAAAGGAGGGAAAAUGUUGAAACAAGAUUAUUUCAUUUUAAGGAAGAUCGAGAAUGCUUUUCAAGAGUACAAGAUUUGCAGAAGAAGUUCUUAAUAUUGGUAAUCUUAGACAAGCCUCUUACUAGUUCUAAUUUACUCAACUUUGCAAUUCUAUCGAAAUGGACAUGCCCUAGUUUCCCAUGCCACAAGAAUUCACUGCAGAGAAAAAAAACUCAUUAAAACACUCGAAUCUAACAUGUCAAUUGUAUAGAUAUUUCCUCUUCGUGAUCCAACAAAGAGAAAAUAAGAGUCAUCAUGAUAUUCUACUCUACAGAGAUUUACUACAAACACGACUCUAUUCAUACUUCCACACAACUGACGAAUAGACAAUAGGUUAUGCUUGAGCCUAUCAACUAGUAGAACAUUAUUAAAAAUAAGAUUAGGAUACUUACCUAUAGUUCCAGAACAAAUGAUUUUCCCUUUCCCAAUUUUUAGUGUAAGUUCUAUGAAUAGCGAUGCAUCUCCAGUCAUGUGUCGAAAGAAGCCGCUAUCCAAGUACUAUUCACUCAUUACUUUUUCCUACAAAAACAUUGAAUGUUAGAUUCUUAGGUACCCAUACCUGUUGGGAUACCUUCUUACUAGAAUGUCUAAACUCGUCUAACACCUUUUUAGCUAUCCAUACUUUUCUUGUGGCUUUCUUUGUCCUUGGUAUUAUGUAGUAGUUCAUCCUACAUUCAUUAGAAGUAUGAUCAUACCCUGAACAUAUAUUACACAACUCCUGGUAUAAUUUUUGUAGGUUUUGAAAUCCUGAAUUUUAAAUUUGGCUCUACGUUGACUCAUAUAUUGAUUUCUAGGUAAUUUCUUCAAAUAUUCGUCCUUAAAUUUCAGAAGAAAUAUUUGAUUUCAACCACUUGCAACUUCCUACAUAAUUUAUCACUUAAUCCAUCUUCUUUAGUAAUACUACUUUCUCCAACAUGUUUGAAACUCAGCAUGCUGUCACUACAUUUAUUUUUUGAACUUGCAUGAGAGAAUUCUCUCAACUCAAAAUUUUAUUCUUUAAUUUCUUUAAUCUCAUCAGCUAACUAUUUAUUAGGAGGUCCUAUGGUUGAAGAAUUUUCUUUAAGAAUUGGACAUUAAGUAAGAGAGGUAUGUGCUCUAUUGUGAUAGUCAAAGUUCAAUUCAUCUUUGCAAGAAUCCUACCUUCCAUUCGAGGUCGAAACACAUAGAUGUUCGAUAUCGUUGGAUUCGUGAUGCGUUGUAAGAAAAGUUGUUGGAGCUCGACAAAGUGCAUACGGAUGACAAUGGCCUGGACAUGAUGACUAAAUCUCUACCAAGUGAGAAGUUUGUUUUUUGUCGCAAGGAAGCGGGUUUGGUGCUACCCUCCAUAUGAGUUGGAGGGGGAGAUUUGUUGGGUUGGUCCAACUACAUAUGAUGGUUGGGUUAACCGGUUUUUAAGGAUUAAUAGUAAUUGGUUGGGUUGGGUUAUCUUGAACUUAUUGGAGAGUUCAAAAGUAGCAUUCUAGAAGUCUCUAUUAUUAAAUAGAGAGAUUAUUUAUCUCUGAAAUUACAGAGAAGAAAGUGAAGAGUGAGUGAGAGAGCAAAAGAAGAGAGGAGAAGAAAAAAUAAGGUUGCUGGAAAGUUUUCGUUUUCGGAAAGUUUUCAUUUUCCAGCAGGUCAGCCUGUUCAAGAGAGCAUCCCGGAGAAACACACCGUUGGAUUGUCCUGAAAUUUGGUGUGCAUGUUUAGGACUUUUGGGCGUACCAUAUCUUCGGAUCACACACCCGGAUUGGACGUUUGUAACCAACCGCCUACCGCAAGUUAUGCACAAUGUAAUUGAGAUGCAUUGGACCCUAGUGAAACGUGUUUUACGUUAUCUCCAUGGCACUCCCACACAUGGUAUUGUUACUCGACCCACUCAAUCCCAUCAUUUGAAUGUUUCUAUCUAUGCUGAUUGGGCAGGUGAUAAUUUGGAUCGACGGUUGACUAGUGCUUACAUUAUUUAUCUUGGUCAUAACGUCAUUUCUUGGUCAAGUCGGAAAUAGCGUACAAUCCCACGCUCAUCUACCGAAGUCGAGUAAAGGGUGCUAGCCACCUCCGCAUCCGAAGUGAUUUAGUUACGGUCCAUGUUGCAUGAAAUUGGCCAACUAUGCAUUUCGCCUCCUACAAUAUGGUGUGAUAACAUCAGUGCCACUUACUUGACUAAAAAACCCGGUGUUCCAUGCUCGAUCCAUGCAUUUUGAUAUAGAUUUUCAUUUUGUCCGUGAACGGGUUGCUUCCGGAAAGUUACAUGGGGCUUAUAUAUCAAUGAAAUAUCAAAUUGUCGAUAGUCUCACGAAGUCUUUGCCAACACCUCGCUUCCUUCAACUUCGGCUCAAGCUCACAGCUCGUCCCUCCUUUGACUUGCGAGAGGGUGGUAAGGAUAAUGAUCAAUCUUAAUUUGAUAUGAUUCUAAUGUAUCCAUAUUUAUCUUUUUAAUAUUCUCUAGUUAUGUUUCCGAUCUUAUGUAAUAACUUACGACUAUUAUAUUCCUAUAAAUACAUACCAUAUAGCACACAGGUGUGGGUAAAUAUUUCAACCUUGUUCUAUUAGAACAAACUCCAAUGAGUUGAAAGUAUAGUUUUGCCAUAUUAUUUGUUCAACACAAACUCCAAAGAUGAUGGAAUAAUGGCAAAACAAGUGUACUUAGAUAAUAACUUGGCUGAUCACCACGGUUCUAUAUAUCAACUUUUCAUAAGCUAGUAUGAGAAAUUAGAGUUCGACGAAUGAAGGAUCCCAAGUAUUGAUAAUAUAAUAAAAGGGAGUCCACAUCAUCAUUAGAGAGAGUCGAUGCACACUGCACUCUUUUUUCCUUCAUAACUGUUUUUUUUCCAUUGAAUUUUCUUGAUAAGCUUUUUAACGAGGCAAUAUCAAAUAGCGUAUUCGAUAAUGACAAAUAUCUUUUAAUCACUGAACAUUCAAGGGGGAAUAUUAUAANNNNNNNNNNNNNNNNNNNNNNNNNNNNNNNNNNNNNNNNNNNNNNNNNNNCAAUAUUGUGUAACAUAUUUAUCAUGUAACAAUCUCAUUUAAGGGCUCAUUGGCACUCAUUCGUAUGUAUAAAUAAUGCUAGAAUGUAAUUAUUCUUUACUAAUAAGUAGAUAUUCAUCAUAUAUGAAUAAAAAACUCUUCCUCUGUCUUAUGUCUCUUCCUCUACACUAAUCUUCUUCCCUUCCCAUGAACGGUUUUAUGGCAUUAUAAAAUUAAACUAAUUUUAACUAUACUUGUGUAAUGUGAAUUACAAUUUUCAAGUUAAAACAGUUUAAAUUUAUGAAUAAUNNNNNNNNNNNNNNNNNNNNNNNNNNNNNNNNNNNNNNNNNNNNNNNNNNNNNNNNNNNNNNNNNNGUUUAACUCUAAAGGUUGUUGUCUUGUUGAAUUACGGUCAUACGUGUUUCAUCAUUUCCAUACUCCAUUUAUUUUUUGUUAUCAAAUUAACUUAAAUAUAACUUAGUUGAAAUCAUGAAUUGUAUUAUACUAUGACUUGCUCUGAACAACUUGCCCAGUCCAUCUCAAACCAACUCCAAAAAUUUUACCUACGAUCAUAUAUUGAUUUUAGUUUGAUUAGUAUACAACUUGAUUGAACUAAUUUCUUAACUCAUCCACCAAAAUAUUAUACUAAUUUUAAUAUAAUUUACUCAUUUAAAUAUUCAAAUUAUAUGUAACUCAAAUAAUGAGCAAAAUUUUAUCCAUAUCAUAAAUUGACAAUAAUUUGAACUCCUAACUACGUGAACUUACAACACUAAUUACAUAUGACCAGGUAACAUAACUUGUGACUUAAUGGGCCAACACUCGAUUAACUCAACAUGUCACUCGCACAACUUGUACAUUUGACGCUAAUUUCUUUUUUCAACAUAAUCACAUCUCCACAACUAACGAGCUGUUGGUGCAGUGGUGUCAGGGGCCGCAUUUGAAAGGAUGAACUAAAGUUCGAUCCCCGCAAUAACAUUGUGAGAGGAGUAAAACCUUAACCCCGAGACCAUCCUUGCUAAAUUAGUCGGCCAGUGGGUCGGAUACUAAUUUAAUUAAAUUGUUCCAUUUAUUUAUUUUCAGUAUAAUUAAAAAAGGAAUUAGUUUCAAAUCAUCAUUAAUAAAUAUAAAUUUUAAAAAAUAUAAUAAUACUUACUUAAUUUUAUAUAUUUNNNNNNNNNNNNNNNNNNNNNNNNNNNNNNNNNNNNNNNNNNNNNNNNNNNNNNNNNNNNNNNNNNNNNNNNNNNNNNNNNNNNNNNNNNNNNNNNNNNNNNNNNNNNNNNNNNNNNNNNNNNNNNNNNNNNNNNNNNNNNNNNNNNNNNNNNNNNNNNNNNNNNNNNNNNNNNNNNNNNNNNNNNNNNNNNNNNNNNNNNNNNNNNNNNNNNNNNNNNNNNNNNNNNNNNNNNNNNNNNNNNNNNNNNNNNNNNNNNNNNNNNNNNNUCAAAUAUUUUUUUAUUUUAAAUCACUCAUCCAAAUAACCCGAAAACAACUUUUAAUUUUAUAUGUGAUUAAUAUCAAGAAUUCAAUCAAUAAACAAUUAUAUAUAUUCAUCGAAAAAAAUUAUAUCUGGAAAAAUGAGUAAAUUAUGAAAAUAGAUGUGGAAAACAAUACAUGAAACAAAGAGUAACGUUUUUGCCAAAAUGUGCAAUUAUUUAGUAAAAAAAAA
rnacentral:lncRNA from 1 species